rnacentral:lncRNA from 1 species
CAGGUGGAGGUGGGGAUGGAGUCGGAGGUGGAGGUGAGGGUGAAGGGGGAGGUGGGGAUGGAGGUGGAGGUGAAGGUGAAGGCGGAGGUGGGGAUGGAGGUGGAGGUGAAGGUGUGUGUGGACAUUGACUUUGACAAUUUUGCGGAGCACAAAAACUUUCUGUUGUUCCACACCAACUCCAAAUACUACAACACUCAUUGCUUUUACAUUUUCCAUCACCACCUCCCAUUCCACAUCGCGGAUAUGGAGGUGGAGGUGAAGGUUCAUGCGGAGGUGGGGAUGAAAGUGGCAUGCCAAAGGUUUCAUUAUGAGGAAGAGAUAGCCUAUCGGCUGAGACAAGGAACAAAUAUUGCAAAGUCACCACACAUAAAACACUUAUAAUUAAGGUCUCCUUCAUUUUUAUUUGUAGGAUGAAUGAAUGAGUGAAUUGGUCUCCUUCAUGCUAAACUAUUUAUAACAAAAUUAUGAUAGCGACUCAUCUCAUCAUCAUAUAUAUGGUUUCAACUUUCAUCCAUGCAUUAUUCACAACAUCAAGUAUUUUUUUGUUAAAAUAAGGUCACAUUAAUUAAAAGUACAAGAUAAGUUUCGAUUAGACUGUGUAUUGCUCAGUUUAAUUUGAUUUUGGAAUAUAUCGAUUUUAUUUAUAAGUUAUUGGUUUAAAAUCAUGUUAAAUUUUUAUGGAACCGUUAAGAUAUCAGUGUAGCAGUUAUUGAUUUAUCAAUUAGUGAUUGUUAUCACUUUGGUUAUCGGGUUAACUGUGAACAGUUCACACAAUUUUCAUUGAGAAUUACUAAUGAACUAAUCACUAAUUAACAAUACGCAUUAACCAGCAGUCAUUGAUGAAAUUUUCUCUGCUAAUCCGUUACUAUAUAAAUCACUUAAUAUCACUCCAUAUUUACUUGGACAUAGAUGUCAAAUGUUAUCCAAACUGUUAAACUCAAAAGGAUUCCUCAUAACAACCAAAUCAAUUUCGAUAUAAACUAUAAAGAAAAACAAUUACAACACUACUCACGAAAAUCAUUAAUGAUCAAGAAACCAUUACUAAUAAAAAAAAAUUGUUGCAGAUUGUAGUAUUGCAAUAUUGGACGCAUAUCAUACUGGCUCACUCACUUAAUGAGAAGAUAAAAAUAAAGACUUAAAGUAAGGGAAUCAACCAUUUGAACAUCAAUUUAGACACUUAGAGAACGAUAUUCAAAAUAACUCAUCGGCGUGGGAGCAGUGACAGUAAAUCAAUGAGUUAUGUGACAGCUUUGGAAUAUUAUUGUGAAAUUUGGGUGUCAAAUAUAAAGUCACUGUAAAGAGUCUGAAAGUGUAAACCCCCAAAGACUAAAAGUGUAUAAUGUCUUAAAGUGAUAUAAAUGUAAUUAAUUAAGUUUUUAUCAGGUUAGUGGGGCACUCGCUUAGGAAUAUGGCCAAACUGAGACCCGAACCAAUAAAUUGAUAAGAAGUUUAUAGUAAAUCGAGACUCGAACCGCUAAAUCAUUAACCCAAACUAUUGACCCAAUAAUUAAAUUAUUGAUUUCAAUUUAAUUUUGAACAACUAUAGGUUGAAUUCAAAACUAAUUAGAUGAAAUUUGUUUAAAAAUAUUACCAUGGAGAAGAGAAUGUCUGCAAAUUUUUUCAAAGAAUCUAAAAAAAAAACGAUUUACCGAAUUUGGACUAACUUAUAAGUUAUUGAUCAUUAUUAUUAUUACAUUAAUUUGAUCAUUAUUAUUAUUACAUUAAUUAGAUCAUUGGAUAAAAUCAAUUGAUAUUCAUAUUGCUUCAUGAAUACAACUUCCAGAUUUAUAACAUUCUUUUUGUUGUUUUUAUUUAAAUAUUAAUAAUAUGAAAAAAUACUUAAUAAUAUUUCUAAAAAUAAUUAGAUUAUGUAAUUUUAUUGUCUAUAAUUAGUGGAUACUAGUUAAAAUGAGAGACAUGAAUGAUGUUCUCUUAGCACGUUGUGGAUCACGUUUUAUGUCCUUUCCUUUUCAAUCGCACUAAUUAUUACUCUCUCUUUCGCGAAGAAUAAUUUAGUUUGAUUUAACACAAAAUAAAAUCCAACAAAUUUCCUCUUGGCCUGAAUUUUUGACAAAAUGAAUUUGUUCACUUUCUUCACUUAAUCUUCAACAACUUGCUUCUCCUCUCCAUAAUCUCCUUUGCAAAAUUUAUAUCUCAACACUGAGAACCUCUCUGAAACAAUUUCUCUAACAAAAUCUUCAUUGCUGUCAAAAAGGUUGUUGCUAGAACUGCACCGCCAAGAUGGACACUGUUUUAUCGAAAAAAGGAUAUUUUCGAAAAGAGUUUGUUUAAAGGGUAUUUUCGACUUUUAGGAGUCGCCACUUAAUUUUUUAAGAAAAAUCAAGAAAACUUUGUUUCUAAACAACCUAAACAGAACAAUUGUUUUGAAACAUUUUUUAAGCGUUCGGGAUUCUUAUUAGUGUCUUAGGAAGGUGUAAGGCACCUAAGACACUCCGUUAAACACGGUUUUCCGGCGAUUAACUUAUUUGACUACUUUUUAACCUUUUGCGAAUUUCUUGUUUUGAAGUUAAGAUUAUUUCAUUUAAACAAUUUUUUUUUUUUGCAAUAUUUAUUGUUUUAAGCUUCCGUUUUAAUUUUUUUUUUUUUUUAAGUUUGAUAAAAUGGAACGCAUUCGAUGGGGUUUGGAGUUUCUAACCCUAAACUAUACGUCAUUCAACAAACACGAAAAGCAAAAUGGUAAAGAGAGAGGGAGAGAGAGAGAGAGAUUUCGGUCCAAGUCUUCGGGUUCUGUUCGCCUUGACCGAAUCUUGGACCCUAGCUGCCUUUGGGUAUUUGACCCAUUUUUGUGCCUGUCCUAAUCUAAACAUACAAAAUACUCUCGAGAGAAAUAAAAAGGACAAGGGCUUAUGCCCGAAAUGAAUACAACAUAAUAACGAAUAAAUAAUCUUCUAAUCCGCCUUCUUCAAGUUCUUCAAUCUUCAAGGCAUUCGCUUGGCAUGUCUAUCCUGAUGGCUUGACUCGAAUAAAGAGAGUUUCGAGCCUUUACGGCUCUUCCGAAUGCAUAGAGAAAGAAUGGAGUCCCGCAAUGGACUCGAGAGGAGUUUUCACAUGCCACAAAAACAAAUGAAAUGAGAAUUGACAUUUUAAAAAUAAUAACUAAAAUAAACAAAUUCACAAACACAACAAGGGCUUCUUUAACACGUAAUACUAAUCAAAUAUUCACAAGAAUAGCAAAACCAACCUCCAACAACUUUAAUGGUAUUUAAAGCUAUAUAGAUCGUUUCAACCUAAGUGACACCAUAAAACGAUACAUAAACUGUGCUGCAAAACCAAGCGUAGAGAAACCUUCACACGAAAUUGUUGAUAACUCCAAAUCGCAUUUAAAGAAAAACUUAGCCAGAAACAAGUAGUGAAAUACUAUUGAAAUGCGUCACAUGGUUAAAUAUCAGCUAAUCAUUUAUGCUUAAAACACUUGAACAUCCCUCAUUUAACUUUAAGAGGGAUUUCAACAUAUGAAGCGAUACCAUCCAACAUCAAGCAGACUAGACAAGAAGACAACUCCAUUAACUUACCACAUGACUACCGAUUAAGCCAGCCAAAUACAAAUGGCGACUGCGAGAUGAAGACGGCCUUUCAAACCACAGAUUUCCAGAAAAGUUUCAGAUAACCAACGUGGCACACAAAAAAUGAAACGUUCAUUCAAGACUCCUAACAAGACAGAUUAUCCAAGCGAAGUAACAAUUUUGGAAAUAAAGACAAUGGAGAGGAUAAGCAGCCAUCAUGUAUUCAAGAACCAUAUACUUGAACAAGUUUAGAAAAGAAAACAAAUUUCAGGAGAAGAGAGCUCAAAGAUAUAAACCUGUUACCCUUACUACGAUACUCGAGACAAGCAAAUACACAACUACCCGACGAACAAACCACAACUAAUCCUAAUAGGCACCUUCAUAGCCAAAUAUCACCACAAGAACCAAUAUCUGUAUCGAUCAAAACGACCAUCACGCCGCCUACAAUCAGUCUAACAGUGUUGAAGCGAAGAUACUCAAUCGAAGAAGAACCUAAAAUCAAAACAAAUGGGCCAAAACAGAGUCGAAAUAGAGAAACCCGUAGGCAUUCGUUGCAUUGCAUCCAAUGUUUGAGACAGAAUGCAAGCAGAAAGAAGGACCCAUUUGAAAACUUAACAGCUAAACAAUGAAUUCAAAUCAGCAGAGAGAAUCAAACUUUACAAUAUUUAACGAUUAGGCGGGAAGCAAACCAGAAUUCCCACAAGCAACAACAACUAAACGCUUUCCAUAUCAGUCAACAAAUACACGUGAAAGAGGAAAACGUAUGAAGAUGAAAUAAUUUACCUCUUCGGGGGCAGCGAUACCGGGGGAAAACGAGUUUGAAAGAGGACGAUCUUCCACCACGCGAACUUGGUAUCUCGAACAGACGCCCGAAGGGACUGGCGUCGCCGGAACGGGAAGGCGAUGUCGUGGUCGAGACUGAAACGCAAGGCUGCUUUAGACUCUCACCUCUCUCUGUUCUUACGAAAUCGACAGCGAAACAGAAAAUUUCUCCGCUUUCCCAAACAAUUUCCAACUAUCUUUCUACAAUAAGGAACCAGAAAGUUUUCCAAACCCCCAAGAAAAACAACAGAACGACCCAAUAGUUUUUUCCAAAAAAAAUCUCCCCCUCUCCGAUGACUGAAAAAAAAUGGACCCCUUUAGAGAGGGACGCUAGGCCUCUAUUUGAAUUCGAAAUUCGAAAUUCCCUUGGGUCAAACCCACAUGGUCGACAUUGCAUGUUGCAGGCCUGUUCGACAGCGACGACUUGCGUGUUGCAGACCUGCUCGACAGCGGCAGGGUAUGGGUCUCUGCGGGGUUGUUGGCGAGUCGCGAAAUGAAGGGGGAAAGGAGAAGAACGUGGGGUUGUUGGCGUUUGCAGGAAAUGACGUCUGUUUUUCUGGGUUCUGUCGAGAGGGGAAGGAGAGAGCGAGCGUGGGGGAGACGCGGGAGAGAGGGAAGGAGAGGAGAGAGGACGUGAGGGAGACGCGGGGAGAGACGCGACGGGGUCUGCUGGCGUUUUUUCUUUCUCUGAAAAACGCGUGAUUUCUGGGGAAUUAUUUGGGUUUCUGAUUCUGGGAAUUGCGUGAAAGGAAGAAGAAAGGGAAAGGGUUGUCUGGGUCGGGUCGGGUGGCGGGUCGAAGGGAUGGGCGGGUAUUUUAAAUUAAUGGGUUGGGAUGUUUGGGCCUGAGAAUUUGUUGUUAGGGAUGUUUGGAUUAAAAACAUUGGGCCUGAGAAUUGUUUGGGUUGCUUGAAAGGGUGGGCUGCUGAAGAAAGGGAGAUUGGGCCUGGGCGUUGGGCUGGAAAAGGGGAAGAGAAAUGGGGUGGGCUGAAAAUAAACAAAAGGGAAAUGGGCUGGAGGAAGGGAAGCCUUAAGAUACACACAUAUACAUAUACAUAUAUGUAUAUACCUAUAUGUAUAUAUAUACACAUCUAUCUUAUUUUCGCAAGAUUUAUAAAGCCAACUAACUUUAAAUAAUUUAAAACUCACGAAGUUCGAUAAUUAAUUUAUACCAACACGGGUCAAAAAUUGGGUGUCAACAACUGUCCCUCAUUUUACUUGGGUGGAUGCAAGCAACUCGAGGAAAAUGAAGUUGACCGAACCAAUUUUGACCAACUCCAUUCGCCUUUAGGAAGAAGGAUUUGACAAAGAGUUUAGGAAUUAUGGCCGAACCCUUGCAAACGGGUCUCCUACAUAUCUCAAGAUAUAUGAGAAUUCAGGCCACUUGUAGUUCGAUAAGCUUGAUUUACCGCACGAUUUCAAAGAAUCAAAAGCCACCUCGACACCGAAUUAUGAAGGUAUCGAAAUGCUCGAGAAUAGAAUUCGAGAGCGAAUGUUGGAAUACAGCCGAGUUUUCAAUAUUGAAUCCGCCUACAUACCCUUAAACCUUCGGAAUCAGGCUGUGUGUAAAUCGACUCGAUCGUUGGAAAAGGAAAACUAUUAUGCUAGCUAACCUUCGGUUUUGGACGAGUGACACAUUAAACGAGUAUGAAAAAGAGGCUUGUAACCUCUUAGCCAUGAAUGUGGCGCGCUUCACACCCAUAAUUAAGAACUUACACAGACAUAAUUUCCAAAUCUUUUGGCGUAUUGUCACUCAGAUUGGAAACUUGCUUCCGAUAAAACAAAACUUUCGGAAGCGAGACAGAAACUGACAGAACUAGAGAAAACCCGUAUGCCUCGAGAGGGGUGGUUCGAUCGUGGUGGAAGUCGCUCCUCUGCUCGCGUCCUAAGAGUUUGACACUCCUCUUUGGAUUGUGUCCCAGUUCGCUGCUAAGAAAAAGUUCCACGUUGUGCUGCAUCCUUUUUGAUGUCGUCCGCACCUGUGAUUUUUGGAGAAUUCAUCCUUUUGGAUGCUCUCGACAAAGACUGAGAUAAAACUCGUCAGCUUAAAAAAAUGCAAUUAAGAUGGGAGACAGUGUCUUUUAUCAUGUCGACACUUCAUUGUUCUCCUCCAUGUUCGACGUCGACUCGAUCGGUCUGACGUCCAGCAAAUAAAGCUUAUGCCUUGUGUUUUGCAAUAUCAUCUUCAAUGUAUUCCAUACUUGAUGUCGAAAUAAAUAAAUAAAUGCUGAUGCGAUAUUGAUGUUUCUUUUGUUGUCAUCUUCGAUGCUCUCCAUGAUGUUUAUUUUUAUAAGAAAUAACAUAAUGCAGUCGAGGCCAAUGGAUAAGUAUUGCUCUUUCUUUAUCCAAGUACGUCUUCUUGCGGGUCAUGAAUAUCUUCCCGCGAUACGUAAAUUCCUGCGAGAUAUGAAUCUUCUCGCGAUGCAUAACUUUCAGCGAAGAAUAAAAUCUUCUUGCGAUGUGCAAAUUUUGACGAGGCAUGAAUUCUUCUCGUCGUGCAUAAAUUUUGACGAGGCAUGAAAUCUUCUCGUCGUGCAUAAUUAUUGACUCGCGAUGCAUGAUUUCCGCGAUGCAUGAUUCCGCAAUGCAUGAAUUCCAGCGAGGCAUAAAUUCUUCUCGUGAUGUAUAAAUUUUGACGAGGCAUGAAAUCUUCUCGUCAUGCAUGAUUAUUGACUCGCGAUGCAUGAUUCCGCGAUGCAUGAAUUCCAGCGAGGCAUAAAUUCUUCUCGCGAUGUAUAAAUUUCGACGAGGCAUGAAAUCUUCUCGUCAUGCAUGAUUAUUGACUCGCGAUGCAUGAUUUCCGCGAUGCAUGAUUCCGCGAUGCAUGAAUUCCAGCGAGGCAUAAAUUCUUCUCGCGAUGUAUAAAUUUCGACGAGGCAUGAAAUCUUCUCGUCAUGCAUGAUUAUUGACUCGCGAUGCAUGAUUUCCGCGAUGCAUGAAUUCCAGCGAGGCAUAAAUUCUUCUCGCGAUGUAUAAAUUUCGACGAGGCAUGAAAUCUUCUCGUCAUGCAUGAUUAUUGACUCGCGAUGCAUGAAUUCCAGCGAGGCAUAAAUUCUUCUCGUGAUGUAUAAAUUUCGACGAGGCAUGAAAUCUUCUCGUCAUGCAUAAUUAUUGACUCGCGAUGCAUGAUUUCCGCGAUGCAUGAUUCCGCGAUGCAUGAAUUUCAGCGAGGCAUAAAUUCUUCUCGCGAUGUAUAGAUUUCGACGAGGCAUGAAAUCUUCUCGUCAUGCAUGAUUAUUGACUCGCGAUGCAUGAUUUCCGCGAUGCAUGAUUCCGCGAUGCAUGAAUUCCAGCGAGGCAUAAAUUCUUCUCGCGAUGUAUAAAUUUCGACGAGGCAUGAAAUCUUCUCGUCAUGCAUGAUUAUUGACUCGCGAUGCAUGAUUCCGCGAUGCAUGAAUUCCAGCGAGGCAUAAAUUCUUCUCGCGAUGUAUAAAUUUCGACGAGGCAUGAAAUCUUCUCGUCAUGCAUGAUUAUUUAUAUUGCCCCCGUGAAUAGUAACGGCAAGACGACCUCCAAAUAAUAUAUCGACUUGAUCGAUAAUGAUAAAAAUAAUAAUUGCAUAGCUGUCUCUUCUGAGGUAAUGCAUUGUCUUGAUCGACAAUAAUCAUCUUGCUUUGAUAACGCAAUGCAAAUAGCGUCUUCUAUAGAAAUCGUGAAAUCUUCGCUAAGAUUCUUUUUUUUUGAUCCACCUUUGAAUCUGGUCAGGCACUUUGUAAACUUCAUGUAUUGGGGAAUGACUUGAAAUAAGCAAACACAUUCACAAGCAUCUUGGCAUAAAGAUAUGAAAUGCUUCUUGUUUUCAAUGAAAAUCACCGGCUUUGGAGAUAGUUUUCUCCUUCUCCGUAUUCAUCAGUUGGAAGAAUUCGGCCGAUUUCGAAGUGAAGCUAUAAACCUGCAUCCACAGAAAAAUUGUCAGUUUUAAACAUACUGAUCUGUGUCGAUCCCUUCGAUUGUUUGCUCCUUGUCUUGACGUCCUCGGUUGAUUUCCCGAUUUCCCGACUCUUGAUAGAUAAGAAAAUAUCUUAUGCCAAAACAGAUGAAAUAUAAAAGGGAAAUUUUUAAGAGAAACAAGAAAUUUUUAAGAAAUAGUAUCUCGAAAAAGUCACUGCCAAGUCAUGUCAUGUCAGGCUUAACGAGCUUCUUUGAGUCCGACGCUUGUCGAAUGAAUUUCAGAGGCAUUCCGGACUUGUAGGGAAGUCCCAUGACAAAAUUUUGAGGCUAUCCUCAAAAUUUCUGUCCCAGUUUAGUAUCUUGCUCCUCUUUCCAUUGUAAUUGCACAGAUUUCGGAAUUUUUGAGAUCUUCUCAAAAUUCCUGUCCCAGUCGCAAAUUCGAAAUGUCUUCAGUUUGAUCCGCUGAAGAGAAGGUUCCUUCUGGAGAAUUUUUGAGUCCCUCUCAAAAAAUUCUAUACCAGUUUCUAUUGUAGAAGGGGGGAAUAGAAUUUUCGAGAUAUAUGACCGAGCCCUUGUGGCGCCUACGUAUCCCGUUGAGGCAGGAAUCAGGUCAAACGUACUUCCCCUUAAAGGUUAACAAGAAUAAAAUUUACAAAGAAACCGACCGAAGCCGACAAAGGCCGCCUACGUAUCUCGUUCUUGAGAAUUCAGGUCAGACGUAGUUCAGGUCGUAGAAUUUGGUCUUCUGUUUUGACUUGUUAAAGAAGUCCAACUUCAAAUGAAUUUUUGAGAUCCUCUCAAAAAUUCUGUCCCAGUUUCCAUUAUGGAGAGAAAUGGAAAUCUUCUGGGUAUAUGACCGAGCCGUUGUGGCGCCUACGUAUCCCGUUGAGGCAGGAAUCAGGUCAAACGUAGUUCCAACACAAGAAAUAAUCAAGGGGAAUAAAUGGGGUGACCGAAGCCGACAUAGGCCGCCUACGUAUCUCAUUCUCGAGAAUUCAGGUCAGACGUAGUUCGUUACAAGAGGGAUAAGAAUUCAAAUUCGAACCAAUACAAGCAAACAGAAGAUUACAAGUAAAUAAUGGGAAAUGCAAAACGAACUUCACGCGUAAUAUCUCUUGACAGCAUCUGAGUUGAUAGGUUUGGGCCACACAGCGCCAUCCAUCUCUGACAAGACUAAAGCACCUCCAGAUAGUACUUUGCGGACCAUGUAAGGACCUUGCCAGUUUGGUGCGAACUUUCCUUUGUACUCGUCUUGAUGAGGAAAAAUACGCUUAAGAACCAACUGACCAACUUCAAAAUUUCUGGCUCUUACUCUUUUGUGAAAAGCGCGAGUCAUUCUUUGUCUAUACAACUGGCCAUGACAAACAGCAACCAUCCUCUUUUCAUCAAUCAAGGCUAGUUGAUCAAUCCGUUUGCUAACCCACUCAGCAUUACUCAGCUCAGCUUCUUGGAUGAUCCUCAGUGACGGUAUCUCGACUUCAACAGGUACGACUGCUUCUGUUCCGUAUACUAGCAAGUAUGGAGUAGCCCCAGUUGAUGUUCUGACCGUCGUUCGAUAACCCAGUAGAGCAUAUGGCAACAUUUCAUGCCAACCCCGCUGCUUGUCAAUCAUUUUCCUCAGAAUCUUCUUGAUGUUCUUGUUGGCGGCCUCUACAGCUCCGUUCAUUUGAGGGCGAUAAGUAGUUGACCUUCGGUGAAUAAUCUUAAAUUGUUCACAUAUCUCUUUCAUCAGAUGACUGUUGAGAUUUGCACCGUUAUCAGUGAUGAUGGAUUCUGGAACUCCAAAUCGGCAGAUCAGAUUGUUGCGGACAAAGUCGGCCACCACUUUCUUGGUUACCGAUUUGUAAGAGGCUGCUUCUACCCAUUUGGUGAAAUAAUUGAUGGCAACCAAAAUAAAUCUGUGUCCAUUGGAAGCGGCCGGUUCUAUAGGACCGAUGACAUCCAUUCCCCAAGCUACAAAUGGCCAAGGUGAGCUCAUAGCAUUGAGUUCGUGAGGUGGCACCCUUAUCAGAUCACCGUGCACUUGGCAUUUGUGGCAUUUUUGCACGAAUUUGCAACAGUCAUGCUCCAUAGUCAUCCAGAAAUAACCGGCUCGAAGGACUUUUCUUGCCAAGGUAAGCCCGUUCAUAUGUGUGCCACAGACUCCAGCAUGUAUCUGUUCAAUAAGCCUCACGGCUUCAGCAGCAUCCACGCAUCUCAAAGACCCAAAUCUGGAGUCCUUCUGUAAAGGACUUCUCCAUUCAAAAAGAAAUUGAGAGCCAUAUGACGUAUCGACUUCUUUUGAUUAGAUGUGGCGUCUUCUGGAUAUGUCCCAGACUCCAAGUGCCUCUUUAUGUCGAAAUACCAAGGCAAACCAUCUGGUUCUGAUUCCACGUGUGAACAAUGGACUGGAUGCUCCUUCAAAUCUAUAUCCAGCGGGUCGAUGUAAUCAAUAUCCGGAUGUUUGAUCAUUGAAGCGAUGGUGGCAAGAGCAUCAGCUAAUUCAUUCUGUAUUCGGUGAGUAUGUCUGAACUCGAUCUUGCGAAACCUUUUACACAGGUUUUGCACAUAUUGUACAUAAGGUACAAUCUUUGGGUUCUUCACAGCCCAUUAUCCUUGAACCUGAUGGAUCAAGAGGUCUGAAUCUCCAAUAACCAGUAACUCGUAAACAUUUAUGUCAACGGCCAUUUUCAAACCGAGGAUGCAAGCUUCAUACUCAGCCAUGUUGUUUGUGCAGUUGAACCGUAGCUUAGCCGCCAUAGGAUAGUGCUGACCAGAUUCUGAUACCAAUACUGCUCCAACACCUUUACCCUGGUGAUUCACCGCUCCAUCGAAGAAUAAUCUCCAACCUGGAUAAGCUUCAGAGAUAUCUUCACCCACAAAUGACACUUCUUCAUCGUGAAAAUAUGUCUUGAGAGGUUCAUACUCUUCAUCAACGGGAUUUUCCGCAAGAUGAUCAGCCAAAGCUUGUGCUUUUAUUGCCUUCUGAGUCACGUACACGAUGUCAAACUCACUCAACAGCAUUUGCCAUUUAGCUAGCUUCCCGGUCGGCAUCGCUUUCUGGAAAAUAUACUUCAACGGAUCCAUCCUGGAGAUAAGAUAUGUAGUAUACGACGACAGGUAGUGCCUCAGCUUCUGGGCAAGCCACGUCAGAGCACAGCAUGUUCUUUCCAGCAAAGUGUAACGAGACUCGUACGGAGUAAAUUUCUUGCUGAUGUAGUAGAUAGCCUUUUCCUUCUUCCCUGUCUCGUCGUGUUGACCAAGUACACAUCCAAAGGCGUUAUCUGAGACAGAUAAAUACAGCAACAAAGGACUCCCUUCUCGCGGAGGAACCAAUACUGGUGGGUUAGACAAGUAGCUCUUGAUAGCGUCGAAAGCUGUCUGGCACUCCUCAGUCCACUUAGUUGGGGCAUCUUUCUUCAGCAACUUGAAGAUAGGCUCACAUACCACUGUCGAUUGUGCUAUAAACCGGCUGAUAUAGUUUAACCUCCCCAAGAAACUCAUCACCUCUUUUCUCGUUUUUGGCGGAGGUAACUCCUGAAUUGCUUUAAUCUUGGAAGGGUCGAGCUCAAUACCUCUUCUGCUGACUAUAAACCCUAACAAUUUCCCAGCUGGGACUCCAAAAGCACAUUUGGCGGGAUUUAGCUUCAAGUUGUACCUACGCAAACGUUCAAAGAAUUUUCGCAGGUGUGUCAAAUGAUCCGAACUCUCGCGGGAUUUAAUUAUGACGUCGUCCACGUACACUUCAAUUUCCUUGUGAAUCAUGUCGUGGAAGAUAGUCGUCAUGGCUCUCAUGUAAGUGGCACCAGCGUUUUUGAGCCCAAACGGCAUCACCCUGUAGUGAUAUACCCCCCAAGGUGUGAUGAAGGCCGUUUUCUCCGCGUCUUCUUCAUCCAUCAAAAUCUGGUGAUAACCCGCGUAACAAUCCACAAAUGACUGCAUCUCAUGCUUGGCACAGUUGUCAAUCAGAAUAUGGAUAUUUGGCAACGGGAAAUUAUCCUUUGGACUAGCCUUGUUGAGAUCUCUGUAAUCAACGCAAAUCCUGAUUUUUCCAUCUUUCUUGGCGACCGGAACGACAUUCGCCAACCAGGUGGGAUAUUGCGUUACUUCUACCAACCGGGACUCUAUCUGCUUGGUGAUUUCCUCCUUAAUCUUCAAACUCAACUCAGGCUUGAAUUUCCGAGUCUUUUGCUUCACUGGCUCGAACCCUGGGUUGAUAGGCAGCUUAUGAGAUACGACAUCGGUACUCAGCCCCUGCAUGUCACUGACCUCCCAAACAAACACAUCGCUGUAUUCGGCAAGCAAAUGAAUCAGGCUCUCCUUCUGAGUUUCAUUCAGGUGAGUGCUGAUCUUAACCUCUUUGACACAUUCUGAAUCUCCCAAAUUUACCGUCUCUGUUUCCUCCAGAUUCGAUUUAUGUUGAUUCUCGAACUGUCGAAACUCUUCUACUACAUAGUCUGGUUCCCCACUUUCUUCGUCGUAGUCGUCAGCCUCGUCGUCAUUUGCCUCAUUUUGUUCGUUUAGCUCAUGACAUGACAUGACGUUGGCAGGUUUGUAACUUACGUUACUUAAAUCAUAAACAGACAAAAUUAGAAAAGUAAAAUAUAACAAGCAAUCGAAUAAACAAAGUCAAAAUAAGGAGGCUUUCAUUUAAAUUGAAUCAAGAUGCAAAGUUGGGUCAUGGCACAAGGCCAUGUCGCCCUUUAAACAAUCAUAACAAAAUUCAAAAUCAAGAAAAUGCAGAAAUGGUGGGUCUCGGGCCUCUUCCGAACGACCACCGAUUUUGGCAUGCACAAAAUAAUUCCUUUCUACCCAAAAGUCCGGGACAUCAGGAUUGGUGUGGACGUCCAAUUCUUCAGCAUCUCCCCCGGUUCAGCAUCGCGAAAGCCAGAUGGCUCGGCCUCUUCCUCUAUGACGGCAUUGAUCUCCUUGAACAGGUCACAGAUUCCUUCCCCGUCGUCUUCAGGCUCGGCAUGCUCCCGAAUUGGAAAGGAGUGAUAGAGAUGCGGGAUCGGCUUAGUCAACUCUUGAUCCCUUCUCCUCCUCAUCUUCAUAUCAUCAUCUGUGGGGAUGUACCCCAAACCAUACUUUGAUCCCUGAGCAAGGACCGGAACAGGCUCAAUAAUUCCUUGGGAAUCUCUUCCCAAUCCGAAACCUGGCUCGAACCCAUUUUGCAGCAUCACCGUGGCUAUCAUUUUGUACACGGUUGGCAUGGAGUUGAGGGCCAAAUCUUCGUUGGUGGCAUUCACCAGCUCCACCGUGUAAAAGUCUGCGCCUUGCGGCAUCUCAUCAAUGACCGACACCUGCUUGCCCGAGCGACUUCCCUCGCCGUGAAUCACUAACUCUUCAUUUUUCCACACAAGCUUCAUCAUCUGAUGGAGAGUAGAGGGGACGGCUCCAGCCAUGUGGAUAAACGGCCUUCCCAAAAGAAGGUUGUAGCUAGUGUCUAUGUCCAAUACUUGGAAUUGCGCACUGAACUCUGCGGGGCCCAUUUGAAGGGUCAAAGUCACAGCCCCUAAGGUGUCUCUUUGCACACCAUCAAAUGCCCUUACAUUGACCUGAUUCUGCUCCAGUUUCCCAAGGUCAAAAUUUAGUUGCCUCAACGUCGUCAAUGGGCAAAUAUUCAAACCGGACCCAUCAUCUACCAAAACACAGUUGACAACCUUUCCACGACAUAUCACGGUAAUGUGUAGCGCUUUGUUGUGGGAUCUUCCUUCGACUGGCAACUCAUCGUCACAAAAGCUGAUCCGGUGCCCCCGAAUGACUUGAUGAAUCAUAGCGGCCACGUUAUCACUACUUGUACCUGAGGGUACGUAUGUAUCAUCAAGAGCUUUCAUUAAGGCCUGCCUGUGGGACUGAGAGCUCAUCAGCAGGGCCCACACGGAGAUCUGAGCCGGAGUCUUCUCUAAAUGUUUGACGAUGGAAUAGUCCUUCGGUUGCAUCCUUCUCCAGAAUUCCUCUGCUUCCCCCUCGCUUAUCGGCCUCUUAGCAUGGUCCUUCUUCUGUCCUCCGAGAGCAAGCUCAUCAGGAGUGUAGCACCUUCCGGACCUGGUCAUGCCUUGGGCCACGGCAGUUUCAAUGACAAAUUUGGGCUUAACGAGGGUUUUCGAAGGCACCAAGGCAACAGCCUUUGCAGGUGUCAGAAUAACAACUUCCUCCUUUCUUUGACGCUUAAAGAAGCGACAGCCCUUUCCAAGUCCUCAUGCAUAAUAGGGGUAAUCAUCUUUGUUCCACACCCGUCUUCAUCCGUUUCAAUCAUAUUAAGGUUGUCACCUCCAUGAUUCGGCAACGGAUUUGUGUUGACGUUUGGCACCGCCGGUUGAAGAGAAACUACCUCCUGAUCGAUCAGGUCUUGGAUUUUGUGCUUGAGGUUGAUGCAAUCUUCCGUGUCAUGUCCAACACUGUUGGAAUGAUAAGCACACCUUUGAUCUGGCCUGUAGAACUUUGAGUUGACAUCCCCGGGUUUGGGCCCCACAGGGUGGAUGUAUCCAUCUGCGGCUAGCCUCUCAAAUAGUUUGGUCCGGCUUUCAGCAAGUGUGGUAAAGUUCCUUGAAGGCCUUUUUUCAGAUCUCGGACGGGAAGUAUCAUAAUUGCUUUGCCGAGGGGGAGGCACCCGCUGAUAAUUUUGGGUAUUUGUACGAGGAGCUUGGCCCCGGGGAUAAGGGUUUGCCUGGAAAUUUGGCAUUGUAGCUUGGUAAUUCGGGAGGGGGUCCUGGUAUAAUGGAGCUUGGACUUGAUAAGUGGACGGAGGUGGUCGGUAGCUCGACUGUACGUUGGCACAGUUGGGAGCAAUAUUCUGAUAAGGGGAUGGGAUCUGGUAUGGUUGAGGGUAAUUUGGGUAUAUGGGAGAAAAAUUUUGGAGAUUAGAGGGUGGACUUUGGUACGACGAAAUUUGAGCAUUCUGAUAGGUGGGGACAGUAUUGUGGUUAUUAGGAUGAUUGGAUUGUGGGUAGUUGGAUCGGUGGGACUUUGGGGAAGGCCUGAAACGAUCUUGGGAAUGUGACGGGUUUCUAGGGGUUUUUCUUCCCCCAUACGAGACAGCGGCAACUUCCUCUCUUCUCUUUCUUAUCAAUCCUGAAGACCCAGGCGACGCAGAUACACGGGCUAUCUUCCCCGAUUUUAGACCAUCUUCGAUAGUCUCACCAACUUUGACUAUCUCAGCGAAUUUAGCUCCGACUAGCAAUAUGAUCCGAUCAUAGUACUCAGGCUCCUGUACCCGCACGAAUACUUCCACAAUCUCUUUCUCGGUCAUGGGUGGCCUUACCCUCGCCGCUUCUUUCCUCCACCUAUAGGCAAAUUCCCUAUAGCUUUCAGUUGGUUUCUGCUUCAUCUUCUCUAGAGAAUACCGAUCGGGCACUAUUUCAACAUUGUAGGCGAAUCGGUCAAUGAAGUCCUUAGCCAGUGCAUUCCAACUGGGCCACUGCCUGGUUUCAUGUGAAGUAAACCACUCGAGGGCCUCUCCACACAGACUUCGGCUGAAAAGCCGCAUCAACAAGGCCUCAUCCCUGCCAACUCCCACGAGCUGGUCACAAUACGCUCUCAAAUGCGCCAUAGGAUUGCCCACUCCUCCGAAGGUGUCAAACUUCGGAAUUUUAAAACCUUCGGGAAGGUUCAAAUCUGGAUGGAUGCACAAUUCUGCGUAGCUAAGUCCGACGGCGUCUGGGAUGCACUGCAGCUCUUUCAUAGCCCUUUUGAUUUCUUCCUUUAUAUCGAUCUUCACUUCUUCUUUCGCCUUCCAUUCUCUUUCCUGUUCUUCAUAGUGAUCCAACUCAGAACCGUGCACCUCGUGCUCGGCAGGAACGGGAACUUGGAAGGUGGCUCUUUUUGGUAGGGGUGGAGCUAUAGAGGGACUUGGAACGUUUUGGGCGGUCUGGUAGUUUUGUGGGUAGGCCUGAGGAUUGGUGUUCUGGCUCAAAUGCGGAUGAAAUGCUUGGGUAUUGAAGGCAGUUUGAGUUUGGUUUUGAUUUUGUGGCGGUGGGGCAGUUUGAGUAUUCUGAGGAUGGGGUGGUAUUUGAGGGUGGUUAUUUGGAAGAGGUGAAGGAGUUUGGUAAGAUGCAGAAGCGUAUUGAGGGUUUUGGGUUGUGAGGUCAAUCACAGACGGAUUAUGCACAGGUGUAGAAGGCUGGUUCUGAGUUGGAUCUAUGUUUGAUGAAGGGAAGUAGACCGGAGGUCUUGCAUCAGCAAUAUUAGUACCAAAUCCAGGUGGAGGCGCAUCCUGUCUCCGUUGCAUUUCAACUUUCAUUUCAGCAAUCUGUUGCAUCAGUUGCAUGAUCAAUUCGUUCUGUUCCACUACAGUGGGCUGAGCCACCACAACGUCAGUAAGACGCCCUUCGUCAUUGUUGUCUCCCAUAACUGUUUUUCCUUUGUCUGAAUUUGAUCGAGGGAAGGAAUCUGUAGGACCUUUUGAUCUGGUGAAGUAAGGAUGAUCUGCCAGCUUUAUCGACACAGAUCAGUAAAAGGUACCUGAGAGGUAAAAACAACUCAAAGGCAAAUUUGUUAGUGCAUAUCCAGAGUACAAAAUGCAUAAUAUCGCACAUAAAACAGAUAAACACACAAGUCGUUUUGUUUGAGGAUAUCUUAACCCACGAAUAAGGACGGAUAUAUAUUUUGAACAAACAGGAAUUUGUUUGUUUGGCGCUAUCUUGGGAAAUCUGAAUCACGUUGAGCUAUGGUCUUCUUGCAGCUGCUUUGCGACGUCCGUUGAUCUUAUCUUCGUAUCUCCGAAACAUGGAGGAGAAUGAAAAUUUUCUGUGAUAGGGGCCGGGCCGGAAGGCUGCCUACGUAUCUCACGGGGAGAAUUCAGGCCCAACGUAGUUCGGAUUUUAGGAUGAAAAUUUUCCAUUCAUUCUUUCGUUGUGAUUACAAGGGAAUUGAAAACAACAUUGAAAUUUCUAGAAGACCACAUUCGGAGAUUUCUUGUCUUGUGGCUGCGUCAUUCCUUUCCUUUCAGACAGUCGAAAAUGGAGGCUUGUAGACGAUUUCUUCUUCAUCAUCCUCCUCAGUCACUUCACGGUCGGGGCCACUGUUAUCUGCUCCCUGAUCAUGGGCGAGGUAUUUUCCGCCCUUUGGGUCGCUAUGGGUCGCCAAUUCCUCGUCGAGCGCCGCGCUUCUGUCCAACAACACAGCAGUCUCGAUAUCUAUCUUCGCCUCUCUCGCCUUUCCUUCGUGUAUCUCCAAACGAAGCAAGUUCAACCUUUUCCUUAGGCUUUCGGUUUCCAUCUCAACCUCCUUCUUUCUCUUUAUCUGUGACGCCAGAUCUUCAUCCAAGGUUGUGACCGCAGCUUUGUAGAUCGCCGUGGUCACGUCUACUUUGAGUCCUUCCUCCUUAACCUUCUGAAUCUCUCGAGUGACUCGCUCGAUUUUUCUUCGCAAUUCCUCCUCAGUGAGCUCCGUCUGGACGUUCUUGCCUUUGUCCAUAGCGGUGAUUCGACUUUCCUGAGAUGAUAGAGCGGUAUUUAGGAUUUAUGGUAUGGAUUUUGUGUGAGAAACUUGAGACUCGGGAAUUUUGGUCGGACAUUUGUAAUGUUGGCUUCUGUAUACUCUUUUGAAUUUUGGCUAGGAGUGGGUUUACGAUAUCCUCAUUCAAAGCAACAUAACACAUAAACAUUUAAACAAAUAUAUCGUGUCCUAAACAUGCAUGUGACCCUUUGUGCCAAGGGUAGGCCUAGCGAUCUGAAGGAUGUAUUGCGCCAUUUAAAUAAGUAAUUGUACCCCCGAAACAAAUUUCACUAGAUGUCAUAGCGUUCAUUACACAAUCAAAAUCAAACGGGAUAUAUCUUGGGAAGGGGAUGCAAUGCAAAUACAUAUAUAAAUCAAUCCCACGCAGGGGAGUUAAAAGGUCGAUGAUCCAGCUCCUCUUCUGGCCUUCUCCACUUCUUCUCGGAUAAUGCACUUGCUGGUGAACACGUAUGGCUCAGCGAACGCAGCUUUGGAAGAUGUUGGUACGGCUUGUAAGGUGUUCAUCUGCUCAUCCAGAAUAGUGUCCAAACGCAUUAGACAAGUCCUUGUGUCAGCUAAUUCUUGUGACAUUACGGCCAAAACUCUCUGAUUUUCUAAUUCCCGGAGUUGGUACGCUUGCUCCCUUUGUUGAAAUUCCUGUUCUUUCUUAUAGAAUUCCUGCUCCCUUCGGUCCCACUCUUGCUGAAAAUGGUACGCGUGAAUCUGAAGCCUUGUCUCCACGUCUUCGAUUUUCCGACUCGUGCGUGGUGUCGGAUCCACUACACCAUGCAAAUUUUAUGCAACCAUGUCUUAUAUUCGUCGACAUACCCAGCUCCAUACCUAUCUUCGGUGACCUCCCACUUCAUGUUGACACGUCCGGCCCAUUCCUGGAGGAUAAUUUUAGCGAAAGGUAUUUUGUCCUUCCCGUUGUAAUCAACAAUGAAAGAGCUGGCAUCUCCUUGGGCGGGUAUGAUUUGGACUUUCCCAAAUUGCCGCAUUACUCGUGUCGGGUUGUAAGGACGCAAUCCUCUGAUGCCGGGAAGGACUAAAAAUGGCAAUUUGGCCCCUUGUGGCUGCUAUCAUCUGAGACCUGAAGCUCGGUAAUACCCAUUGUAUGUCUCCUUCUUUCAAAUUGUAAAACACCUUUGCCCACGCAUCCCUGGUGGUGUGAAUUGGAAAUUUACGGAUACUCAAGUAGAACUCGUAAUUAUGAGAGGACUUGUUUGACUUGGUUCGGCCAAACCCUGUAGCUGGGGGUUGUCUCUUUUGCAUAGAUGUUCCGUCAACCACCAUUGAAGUAAGAUGUUGCAACCUUGGAAAAACGGAAAAUUCUUGCACAGGCUCAAAGAUCGGUAAAUGUCGGACAAGAUGACUGGGGCCAAACAGCAAUAUUUCUUUUCUUCAGAUUUUCUACCGACUCCUCUGAACAUGGCAUUCACUACCAUUAUUACCCGGGUGUCGAUCUCUUUCCUUCGUCUUUAGGGAACACCAUAGUUCCCAAGAGGCAUGCGGAGAAAGCGAUAGCUUGGGUUUGCCUCCAAGUACUGUGAUCAUGAAAUUCGUCCGGGAACAAUCUAAAAUAAUUGUCGUGCCCCCACCUCUCGAAAAACCUCAUCAGUGGAAUGUUGUGGUCUCUAACCAAUUCGCAUUCACUAGGAUAAUAUGUCUCUUAGCUCAGUCUCGGUUGGCCUAUCUGGCAGGAGAAUGUGAUGAUCGGGACGCUUUUUCCUUUUGCCACACGUCCCAAUCGAGUCAAGGCAAUCUUUGAUCUCUUCUAAGUGUGGGUGUUAUUUCGACAUCUCCAAAUCGAAAGACCAUCUUCUUAUCGUCCCAAAAUCGGGUGAUGACUCGAUAAACGUGGGCCAUACCUUGAAGUCCAUUAUCGAAGGUAGGUGACCCAAGUAAAUCGAGUUCUCUCUUCUGACACUCCUUAAGAUUGCCCCACCAUACUCGAAGAAUGUCGGGUGCCUGGGUGACCAUUUUGAAGUGAAGGAACUGACUUGACAUCUACAAAAACAUACAACUAGUUAAUUUUCAAUCCCCCGAUACAACAACUAGUUAAACACGCAAUACAUCCUUCAAAUUUAAACAACAAACAUGAGCGUCCUAUCGAGCCGCAGGCUCUUUGGACUCAAGGUGGACUUUUCUAAAGGGCCCGACACUCCGGUGUCGGGUCAUCUUAGGCCAAUGCACUAUUUUCGGGAUUUGGUUUCGCUCUAUCCUAGUUUGACUAAGAGUGGGUUGUAUUUAGAGUGGAUGGGUAACCCAAGCGGACUACUUGGGCUGGGACAAUUAACGAUCGUUGACUAUCAAGUAAUCAACUACACUCGUCAGGGUGCCCCGAGAAGAUUUUUGGUUAACGAACGACUGCGAACCCGCAUAAUCGUCCUUUAGUGGAAAUGUAAAAAGUGUCGUUUGACGGAAGUAUGUAUGCUAUGUAUGCAACAGUUUAAAAAAUCUAAAUAAUUUAAACACAAACAGUUAAUCACAAAUAUCAAAUACGUUAAUCUUAAGGUUAGAAUCCUCCAAGUCCCCAGCGGAGUCGCCAUUUCUUUNNNNNNNNNNNNNNNNNNNNNNNNNNNNNNNNNNNNNNNNNNNNNNNNNNNNNNNNNNNNNNNNNNNNNNNNNNNNNNNNNNNNNNNNNNNNNNNNNNNNGGGGAAACGAGUUUGAAAGAGGACGAUCUUCCACACGCGAACUUGGUUAUCUCGAACAGACGCCCGAAGGGACUGGCGUCGCCGGAACGGGAAGGCGAUGUCGUGGUCGAGACUGAAACGCAAGGCUGCUUUAGACUCUCACACCUCUCUGUUCUUACGAAAUCGACAGCGAAACAGAAAAUUUCUCCCUCGCUUUCCAAACAAUUUCCAACUAUCUUUCUACAAUAAGGAACCAGAAAGUUUUCCAAACCCCAAGAAAAACAACAGAACGACCAAUAGUUUUUUCCAAAAAAUCUCCCCCCCUCUCCGAUGACUGAAAAAAAAUGGACCCCUUUAGAGAGGGACGCUAGGCCUCUAUUUGAAUUCGAAAUUCGAAAUUCCCUUGGGUCAAACCCACAUGGUCGACAUUGCAUGUUGCAGGCCUGUUCGACAGCGACGACUUGCGUGUUGCAGACCUGCUCGACAGCGGCAGGGUAUGGGUCUCUGCGGGGUUGUUGGCGAGUCGCGAAAGAAGGGGGAAAGGAGAAGAACGUGGGGUUGUUGGCGUUUGCAGGAAUGACGUCUGUUUUUCUGGGUUCUGUCGAGAGGGGAAGGAGAGAGCGAGCGUGGGGGAGACGCGGGAGAGAGGGAAGGAGAGGAGAGAGGACGUGAGGGAGACGCGGGGAGAGACGCGACGGGGUCUGCUGGCGUUUUUUCUUUCUCUGAAAAACGCGUGAUUUCUGGGGAAUUAUUUGGGUUUCUGAUUCUGGGAAUUGCGUGAAAGGAAGAAGAAAGGGAAAGGGUUGUCUGGGUCGGGUCGGGUGGCGGGUCGAAGGGUGGGCGGGUAUUUUAAAUUAAUGGGUUGGGAUGUUUGGGCCUGAGAAUUUGUUGUUAGGGAUGUUUGGAUUAAAAACAUUGGGCCUGAGAAUUGUUUGGGUUGCUUGAAAGGGUGGGCUGCUGAAGAAAGGGAGAUUGGGCCUGGGCGUUGGGCUGGAAAAGGGAAGAGAAAUGGGGUGGGCUGAAAAUAAAACAAAAGGAAAUGGGCUGGAGGAAGGGAAGCCUUAAGAUACACACAUAUACAUAUACAUAUAUGUAUAUACCUAUAUGUAUAUAUAUAACAUCUAUCUUAUUUUCGCAAGAUUUAUAAAGCCAACUAACUUUAAAUAAUUUAAAACUCACGAAGUUCGAUAAUUAAUUUAUACCAAACGGGUCAAAAUUGGGUGUCAACAACUGUCCCUCAUUUUACUUGGGUGGAUGCAAGCAACUCGAGGAAAAUGAAGUUGACCGAACCAAUUUUGACCAACUCCAUUCGCCUUUAGGAAGAAGGAUUUGACAAAGAGUUUAGGAAUUAUGGCCGAACCCUUGCAAACGGGUCUCCUACAUAUCUCAAGAUAUAUGAGAAUUCAGGCCACUUGUAGUUCGAUAAGCUUGAUUUACCGCACGAUUUCAAAGAAUCAAAAGCCACCUCGACACCGAAUUAUGAAGGUAUCGAAAUGCUCGAGAAUAGAAUUCGAGAGCGAAUGUUGGAAUACAGCCGAGUUUUCAAUAUUGAAUCCGCCUACAUACCCUUAAACCUUCGGAAUCAGGCUGUGUGUAAAUCGACUCGAUCGUUGGAAAAGGAAAACUAUUAUGCUAGCUAACCUUCGGUUUUGGACGAGUGACACAUUAAACGAGUAUGAAAAAGAGGCUUGUAACCUCUUAGCCAUGAAUGUGGCGCGCUUCACACCAUAAUUAAGAACUUACAGACAUAAUUUCCAAAUCUUUUGGCGUAUUGUCACUCAGAUUGGAAACUUGCUUCCGAUAAAACAAAACUUUCGGAAGCGAGACAGAAACUGACAGAACUAGAGAAAACCCGUAUGCCUCGAGAGGGGUGGUUCGAUCGUGGUGGAAGUCGCUCCUCUGCUCGCGUCCUAAGAGUUUGACACUCCUCUUUGGAUUGUGUCCCAGUUCGCUGCUAAGAAAAAGUUCCACGUUGUGCUGCAUCCUUUUUGAUGUCGUCCGCACCUGUGAUUUUUGGAGAAUUCAUCCUUUUGGAUGCUCUCGACAAAGACUGAGAUAAAACUCGUCAGCUUAAAAAAUGCAAUUAGGAUGGGAGACAGUGUCUUUUAUCAUGUCGACACUUCAUUGUUCUCCUCCAUGUUCGACGUCGACUCGAUCGGUCUGACGUCCAGCAAAUAAAGCUUAUGCCUUGUGUUUUGCAAUAUCAUCUUCAAUGUAUUCCAUACUUGAUGUCGAAAUAAAUAAAUAAAUGCUGAUGCGAUAUUGAUGUUUCUUUUGUUGUCAUCUUCGAUGCUCUCCAUGAUGUUUAUUUUUAAGAAAUAACAUAAUGCAGUCGAGGCCAAUGGAUAAGUAUUGCUCUUUCUUUAUCCAAGUACGUCUUCUUGCGGGUCAUGAAUAUCUUCCCGCGAUACGUAAAUUCCUGCGAGAUAUGAAUCUUCUCGCGAUGCAUAACUUUCAGCGAAGAAUAAAAUCUUCUUGCGAUGUGCAAAUUUUGACGAGGCAUGAAUUCUUCUCGUCGUGCAUAAAUUUUGACGAGGCAUGAAAUCUUCUCGUCGUGCAUAAUUAUUGACUCGCGAUGCAUGAUUUCCGCGAUGCAUGAUUCCGCAAUGCAUGAAUUCCAGCGAGGCAUAAAUUCUUCUCGCGAUGUAUAAAUUUUGACGAGGCAUGAAAUCUUCUCGUCAUGCAUGAUUAUUGACUCGCGAUGCAUGAUUCCGCGAUGCAUGAAUUCCAGCGAGGCAUAAAUUCUUCUCGCGAUGUAUAAUUUCGACGAGGCAUGAAAUCUUCUCGUCAUGCAUGAUUAUUGACUCGCGAUGCAUGAUUUCCGCGAUGCAUGAUUCCGCGAUGCAUGAAUUCCAGCGAGGCAUAAAUUCUUCUCGCGAUGUAUAAAUUUCGACGAGGCAUGAAAUCUUCUCGUCAUGCAUGAUUAUUGACUCGCGAUGCAUGAUUUCCGCGAUGCAUGAAUUCCAGCGAGGCAUAAAUUCUUCUCGCGAUGUAUAAAUUUCGACGAGGCAUGAAAUCUUCUCGUCAUGCAUGAUUAUUGACUCGCGAUGCAUGAAUUCCAGCGAGGCAUAAAUUCUUCUCGUGAUGUAUAAAUUUCGACGAGGCAUGAAAUCUUCUCGUCAUGCAUAAUUAUUGACUCGCGAUGCAUGAUUUCCGCGAUGCAUGAUUCCGCGAUGCAUGAAUUUCAGCGAGGCAUAAAUUCUUCUCGCGAUGUAUAGAUUUCGACGAGGCAUGAAAUCUUCUCGUCAUGCAUGAUUAUUGACUCGCGAUGCAUGAUUUCCGCGAUGCAUGAUUCCGCGAUGCAUGAAUUCCAGCGAGGCAUAAAUUCUUCUCGCGAUGUAUAAAUUUCGACGAGGCAUGAAAUCUUCUCGUCAUGCAUGAUUAUUGACUCGCGAUGCAUGAUUCCGCGAUGCAUGAAUUCCAGCGAGGCAUAAAUUCUUCUCGCGAUGUAUAAAUUUCGACGAGGCAUGAAAUCUUCUCGUCAUGCAUGAUUAUUUAUAUUGCCCCCGUGAAUAGUAACGGCAAGACGACCUCCAAAUAAUAUAUCGACUUGAUCGAUAAUGAUAAAAAUAAUAAUUGCAUAGCUGUCUCUUCUGAGGUAAUGCAUUGUCUUGAUCGACAAUAAUCAUCUUGCUUUGAUAACGCAAUGCAAAUAGCGUCUUCUAUAGAAAUCGUGAAAUCUUCGCUAAGAUUCCUUUUUUUUGAUCCACCUUUGAAUCUGGUCAGGCACUUUGUAAACUUCAUGUAUUGGGGAAUGGCUUGAAAUAAACAAACACAUUCACAAGCAUCUUGGCAUAAAGAUAUGAAAUGCUUCUUGCUUUCAAUGAAAUCACCGGCUUUGGAGAUAGUUUUCUCCUUCUCCGUAUUCAUCAGUCGGAAGAAUUCGGCCGAUUUCGAAGUGAAGCUAUAAACCUGCAUCCACAGAAAAAUUGUCAGUUUUAAACAUACUGAUCUGUGUCGAUCCCUUCGAUUGUUUGCUCCUUGUCUUGACGUCCUCGGUUGAUUUCCCGAUUUCCCGACUCUUGAUAGAUAAGAAAAUAUCUUAUGCCAAAACAGAUGAAAUAUAAAAGGGAAAUUUUUAAGAGAAGCAAGAAAUUUUUUAAGAAAUAGUAUCUCGAAAAAGUCAAUGCCAAGUCAUGUCAUGUCAGGCUUAACGAGCUUCUUUGAGUCCGACGCUUGUCGAAUGAAUUUCAGAGGCAUUCCGGACUUGUGGGGAAGUCCCAUGACAAAUUUUGAGGCUAUCCUCAAAAUUUCUGUCCCAGUUUAGUAUCUUGCUCAUCUUUCCAUUGUAACGCACAGAUUUCGGAAUUUUUGAGAUCUUCUCAAAAUUCUGUCCCAGUCGCAAAUUCGAAAUGUCUUUAGUUUGAUCCGCUGAAGAGAAGGUUCCUUUGGAGAAUUUUUGAGUCCCUCUCAAAAAUUCUAUCCAGUUUCUAUUGUAGAAGGGGGAAAUAGAAUUUUACGAGAGAUAUGACCGAGCCCUUGUGGCGCCUACGUAUCCCGUUGAGGCAGGAAUCAGGUCAAACGUAGUUCCCUUAAAGGUUAACAAGAAUAAAAUUUACAAAGAAACCGACCGAAGCCGACAAAGGCCGCCUACGUAUCUCGUUCUUGAGAAUUCAGGUCGACGUAGUUCAGGUCGUAGAAUUUGGUCUUCUGUUUUGACUUGUUAAAGAAGUCCAACUUCAAAUGAAUUUUUGAGAUCCUCUCAAAAAUUCUGUCCCAGUUUCCAUUAUGGAGAGAAAUGGAAAUCUUCUGGGUAUAUGACCGAGCCGUUGUGGCGCCUACGUAUCCCGUUGAGGCAGGAAUCAGGUCAAACGUAGUUCCAACACAAGAAAUAAUCAAGGGGAAUAAAUGGGGUGACCGAAGCCGACAUAGGCCGCCUACGUAUCUCAUUCUCGAGAAUUCAGGUCAGACGUAGUUCGUUACAAGAGGGAUAAGAAUUCAAAUUCGAACAAUACAAGCAAACAGAAGAUUACAAGUAAAUGAUGGGAAAUGCAAAACGAACUUCACGCGUAAUAUCUCUUGACAGCAUCUGAGUUGAUAGGUUUGGGCCACACAGCGCCAUCCAUCUCUGACAAGACUAAAGCACCUCCAGAUAGUACUUUGCGGACCAUGUAAGGACCUUGCCAGUUUGGUGCGAACUUUUUUGUACUCGUCUUGAUGAGGAAAAAUACGCUUAAGAACCAACUGACCAACUUCAAAAUUUCUGGCUCUUACUCUUUUGUGAAAAGCGCGAGUCAUUCUUUGUCUAUACAACUGGCCAUGACAAACAGCAACCAUCCUCUUUUCAUCAAUCAAGGCUAGUUGAUCAAUCCGUUUGCUAACCCACUCAGCAUUACUUAGCUCAGCUUCUUGGAUGAUCCUCAGUGACGGUAUCUCGACUUCAACAGGUACGACUGCUUCUGUUCCGUAUACUAGCAAGUAUGGAGUAGCCCCAGUUGAUGUUCUGACCGUCGUUCGAUAACCCAGUAGAGCAUAUGGCAACAUUUCAUGCCAACCCGCUGCUUGUCAAUCAUUUUCCUCAGAAUCUUCUUGAUGUUCUUGUUGGCGGCCUCUACAGCUCCGUUCAUUUGAGGGCGAUAAGCAGUUGACCUUCGGUGAAUAAUCUUAAAUUGUUCACAUAUCUCUUUCAUCAGAUGACUGUUGAGAUUUGCACCGUUAUCAGUGAUGAUGGAUUCUGGAACUCCAAAUCGGCAGAUCAGAUUGUUGCGGACAAAGUCGGCCACCACUUUCUUGGUUACCGAUUUGUAAGAGGCUGCUUCCACCCAUUUGGUGAAAUAAUGAUGGCAACCAAAAUAAAUCUGUGUCCAUUGGAAGCGGCCGGUUCUAUAGGACCGAUGACAUCCAUUCCCCAAGCUACAAAUGGCCAAGGUGAGCUCAUAGCAUUGAGUUCGUGAGGUGGCACCCUUAUCAGAUCACCGUGCACUUGACAUUUGUGGCAUUUUUGCACGAAUUUGCAACAGUCAUGCUCCAUAGUCAUCCAGAAGUAACCGGCUCGAAGGACUUUUCUUGCCAAGGUAAGCCCGUUCAUAUGUGUGCCACAGACUCCAGCAUGUAUCUGUUCAAUAAGCCUCACGGCUUCAGCAGCAUCCACGCAUCUCAAAAGACCCAAAUCUGGAGUCCUCUGUAAAGGACUUCUCCAUUCAAAAAGAAAUUGAGAGCCAUACGACGUAUCGACUUCUUUUGAUUAGAUGUGGCGUCUUCUGGAUAUGUCCCAGACUCCAAGUACCUCUUUAUGUCGAAAUACCAAGGCAAACCAUCUGGUUCUGAUUCCACGUGUGAACAAUGGACUGGAUGCUCCUUCAAAUCUAUAUCCAGCGGGUCGAUGUAAUCAAUAUCCGGAUGUUUGAUCAUUGAAGCGAUGGUGGCAAGAGCAUCAGCUAAUUCAUUCUGUAUUCGGGGAGUAUGUCUGAACUCGAUCUUGCGAAACCUUUUACACAGGUUUUGCACAUAUUGUACAUAAGGUACAAUCUUUGGGUUCUUCACAGCCCAUUCUCCUUGAACCUGAUGGAUCAAGAGGUCUGAAUCUCCAAUAACCAGUAACUCGUAAACAUUCAUGUCAACGGCCAUUUUCAAACCGAGAAUGCAAGCUUCAUACUCAGCCAUGUUGUUUGUGCAGUUGAACCGUAGCUUAGCCGCCAUAGGAUAGUGCUGACCAGAUUCUGAUACCAAGACUGCUCCAACACCUUUACCCUGGUGAUUCACCGCUCCAUCGAAGAAUAAUCUCCAACCUGGAUAAGCUUCAGAGAUAUCUUCACCCACAAAUGACACUUCUUCAUCGUGAAAAUAUGUCUUGAGAGGUUCAUACUCUUCAUCAACGGGAUUUUCCGCAAGAUGAUCAGCCAAAGCUUGUGCUUUUAUUGCCUUCUGAGUCACGUACACGAUGUCAAACUCACUCAACAGCAUUUGCCAUUUAGCUAGCUUCCCGGUCGGCAUCGCUUUCUGGAAAAUAUACUUCAACGGAUCCAUCCUGGAGAUAAGAUAUGUAGUAUACGACGACAGGUAGUGCCUCAGCUUCUGGGCAAGCCACGUCAGAGCACAGCAUGUUCUUUCCAGCAAAGUGUAACGAGACUCGUACGGAGUAAAUUUCUUGCUGAUGUAGUAGAUAGCCUUUUCCUUCUUCCCUGUCUCGUCGUGUUGACCAAGUACAUCCAAAGGCGUUAUGAGACAGAUAAAUACAGCAACAAAGGACUCCCUUCUCGCGGAGGAACCAAUACUGGUGGGUUAGACAAGUAGCUCUUGAUAGCGUCGAAAGCGGUCUGGCACUCCUCAGUCCACUUAGUUGGGGCAUCUUUCUUCAGCAACUUGAAGAUAGGCUCACAUACCACCGUCGAUUGUGCUAUAAACCGGCUGAUAUAGUUUAACCUCCCAAGAAACUCAUCACCUCUUUUCUCGUCUUUGGCGGAGGUAACUCCUGAAUUGCUUUAAUCUUGGAAGGGUCGAGCUCAAUACCUCUUCUGCUGACUAUAAACCCUAACAAUUUCCCAGCUGGGACUCCAAAAGCAUUUGGCGGGAUUUAGCUUCAAGUUGUACCUACGCAAACGUUCAAAGAAUUUUCGCAGGUGUGUCAAAUGAUCCGAACUCUCGCGGGAUUUAAUUAUGACGUCGUCCACGUACACUUCAAUUUCCUUGUGAAUCAUGUCGUGGAAGAUAGUCGUCAUGGCUCUCAUGUAAGUGGCACCGGCGUUUUUGAGCCCAAACGGCAUCACCCUGUAGUGAUAUACCCCCCAAGGUGUGAUGAAGGCCGUUUUCUCCGCGUCUUCUUCAUCCAUCAGAAUCUGGUGAUAACCCGCGUAACAAUCCACAAAUGACUGCAUCUCAUGUUUGGCACAGUUGUCAAUCAGAAUAUGGAUAUUUGGCAACGGGAAAUUAUCCUUUGGACUAGCCUUGUUGAGAUCUCUGUAAUCAACGCAAAUCCUGAUUUUUCCAUCUUUCUUGGCGACCGGAACGACAUUCGCCAACCAGGUGGGAUAUUGCGUUACUUCUACCAACCGGGACUCUAUCUGCUUGGUGAUUUCCUCCUUAAUCUUCAAACUCAACUCAGGCUUGAAUUUCCGAGUCUUUUGCUUCACUGGCUCGAACCCUGGGUUGAUAGGCAGCUUAUGAGAUACGACAUCGGUACUCAGCCCCUGCAUGUCACUGACCUCCCAAACAAACACAUCGCUGUAUUCGGCAAGCAAAUGAAUCAGGCUCUCCUUCUGAGUUUCAUUCAGGUGAGUGCUGAUCUUAACCUCUUUGACACAUUCUGAAUCUCCCAAAUUUACCGUCUCUGUUUCCUCCAGAUUCGGUUUAUGUUGAUUCUCGAACUGUCGAAACUCUUCUACUACAUAGUCUGGUUCCCCACUUUCUUCGUCGUAGUCGUCAGCCUCGUCGUCAUUUGCCUCAUUUUGUUCGUUUAGCUCAUGACAUGACAUGACGUUGGCAGGUUUGUAACUUACGUUACUGAAAUCAUAAACAGACAAAAUUAGAAAAGUAAAAUAUAACAAGCAAUCGAAUAAACAAAGUCAAAAUAAGGAGGCUUUCAUUUAAAUUGAAUCAAGAUGCAAAGUUGGGUCAUGGCACAAGGCCAUGUCGCCCUUUAAACAAUCAUAACAAAAUUCAAAAUCAAGAAAAUGCAGAAAUGGUGGGUCUCGGGCCUCUUCCGAACGACCACCGAUUUUGGCAUGCACAAAAUAAUUCCUUUCUACCCAAAAGUCCGGGACAUCAGGAUUGGUGUGGACGUCCAAUUCUUCAGCAUCUCCCCCGGUUCAGCAUCGCGAAAGCCAGCUGGCUCGGCCUCCUCCUCUAUGACGGCAUUGAUCUCCUUGAACAGGUCACAGAUUCCUUCCCGUCGUCUUCAGGCUCGGCAUGCUCCCGAAUUGGAAAGGAGUGAUAGAGAUGCGGGAUCGGCUUAGUCAACUCUUGAUCCCUUCUCCUCCUCAUCUUCAUAUCAUCAUCUGUGGGGAUGUACCCCAAACCAUACUUUGAUCCCUGAGCAAGGACCGGAACAGGCUCAAUAAUUCCUUGGGAAUCUCUUCCCAAUCCGAAACCUGGCUCGAACCCAUUUUGCAGCAUCACCGUGGCUAUCAUUUUGUACACGGUUGGCAUGGAGUUGAGGGCCAAAUCUUCGUUGGUGGCAUUCACCAGCUCCACCGUGUAAAAGUCUGCGCCUUGCGGCAUCUCAUCAAUGACCGACACCUGCUUGCCCGAGCGACUUCCCUCGCCGUGAAUCACUAACUCUUCAUUUUUCCACACAAGCUUCAUCAUCUGAUGGAGAGUAGAGGGGACGGCUCCAGCCAUGUGGAUAAACGGCCUUCCCAAAGAAGGUUGUAGCUAGUGUCUAUGUCCAAUACUUGGAAUUGCGCACUGAACUCUGCGGGGCCCAUUUGAAGGGUCAAAGUCACAGCCCCUAAGGUGUUCUUUUGCACACCAUCAAAUGCCCUUACAUUGACCUGAUUCUGCUCCAGUUUCCCAAGGUCAAAAUUUAGUUGCCUCAACGUCGUCAAUGGGCAAAUAUUCAAACCGGACCCAUCAUCUACCAAAACACAGUUGACAACCUUUCCACGACAUAUCACGGUAAUGUGUAGCGCUUUGUUGUGGGAUCUUCCUUCGACUGGCAACUCAUCGUCAAAAAAGCUGAUCCGGUGCCCCCGAAUGACUUGAUGAAUCAUAGCGGCCACGUUAUCACUACUUGUACCUGAGGGUACGUAUGUAUCAUCAAGAGCUUUCAUUAAGGCCUGCCUGUGGGACUGAGAGCUCAUCAGCAGGGCCCACACGGAGAUCUGAGCCGGAGUCUUCUCUAAAUGUUUGACGAUGGAAUAGUCCUUCGGUUGCAUCCUUCUCCAGAAUUCCUCUGCUUCCCCCUCGCUUAUCGGCCUCUUAGCAUGGUCCUUCUUCUGUCCUCCGAGAGCAAGCUCAUCAGGAGUGUAGCACCUUCCGGACCUGGUCAUGCCUUGGGCCACGGCAGUUUCAAUGACAAAUUUGGGCUUAACGAGGGUUUUCGAAGGCACCAAGGCAACAGCCUUUGCAGGUGUCAGAAUAAAAAACUUCCUCCUUUCUUUGACGCUUAAAGAAGCGACAACCCUUUCCAAGUCCUCAUGCAUAAUAGGGGUAAUCAUCUUUGUUCCACACCCGUCUUCAUCCGUUUCAAUCAUAUUAAGGUUGUCACCUCCAUGAUUCGGCAACGGAUUUGUGUUGACGUUUGGCACCGCCGGUUGAAGAGAAACUACCUCCUGAUCGAUCAGGUCUUGGAUUUUGUGCUUGAGGUUGAUGCAAUCUUCCGUGUCAUGUCCAACACUGUUGGAAUGAUAAGCACACCUUUGAUCUGGCCUGAAGAACUUUGAGUUGACAUCCCCGGGUUUGGGCCCCACAGGGUGGAUGUAUCCAUCUGCGGCUAGCCUCUCAAAUAGUUUGGUCCGACUUUCAGCAAGUGUGGUAAAGUUCCUUGAAGGCCUUUUUUCAGAUCUCGGACGGGAAGUAUCAUAAUUGCUUUGCCGAGGGGGAGGCACCCGCUGAUAAUUUUGGGUAUUUGUACGAGGAGCUUGGCCCGGGGAUAAGGGCUUGCCUGGAAAUUUGGCAUUGUAGCUUGGUAAUUCGGGAGGGGGUCUGGUAUAAUGGAGCUUGGACUUGAUAAGUGGACGGAGGUGGUCGGUAGCUCGACUGUACGUUGGCACAGUUGGGAGCAAUAUUCUGAUAAGGGGAUGGGAUCUGGUAUGGUUGAGGGUAAUUUGGGUAUAUGGGAGAAAAAUUUUGGAGAUUAGAGGGUGGACUUUGGUACGACGAAAUUUGAGCACUCUGAUAGGUGGGGACAGUAUUGUGGUUAUUAGGAUGAUUGGAUUGUGGGUAGUUGGAUCGGUGGGACUUUGGGGAAGGCCUGAAACGAUCUUGGGAAUGUGACGGGUUUCUAGGGGUUUUUUCUUCCCUACGAGACAGCGGAACUUCCUCUCUUCUCUUUCUUAUCAAUCCUGAAGACCCAGGCGACGCAGAUACACGGGCUAUCUUCCCCGAUUUUAGACCAUCUUCGAUAGUCUCACCAACUUUGACUAUCUCAGCGAAUUUAGCUCCGACUAGCAAUAUGAUCCGAUCAUAGUACUCAGGCUCCUGUACCCGCACGAAUACUUCCACAAUCUCUUUCUCGGUCAUGGGUGGCCUUACCCUCGCCGCUUCUUUCCUCCACCUGUAGGCAAAUUCCCUAUAGCUUUCAGUUGGUUUCUGCUUCAUCUUCUCUAGAGAAUACCGAUCGGGCACUAUUUCAACAUUGUAGGCGAAUCGGUCAAUGAAGUCCUUAGCCAGUGCAUUCCAACUGGGCCACUGCCUGGUUUCAUGUGAAGUAAACCACUCGAGGGCCUCUCCACACAGACUUCGGCUGAAAAGCCGCAUCAACAAGGCCUCAUCCCUGCCAACUCCCACGAGCUGGUCACAAUACGCUCUCAAAUGCGCCAUAGGAUUGCCCACUCCUCCGAAGGUGUCAAACUUCGGAAUUUUAAAACCUUCAGGAAGGUUCAAAUCUGGAUGGAUGCACAAUUCUGCGUAGCUAAGUCCGACGGCGUCUGGGAUGCACUGCAGCUCUUUCAUAGCCCUUUUGAUUUCUUCCUUUAUAUCGAUCUUCACUUCUUCUUUCGCCUUCCAUUCUCUUUCCUGUUCUUCAUAGUGAUCCAACUCAGAACCGUGCACCUCGUGCUCGGCAGGAACGGGAACUUGGAAGGUGGCUCUUUUGGUAGGGGCGGAGCUAUAGAGGGACUUGGAAUGUUUUGGGCGGUCUGGUAGUUUUGUGGGUAGGCCUGAGGAUUGGUGUUCUGGCUCAAAUGCGGAUGAAAUGCUUGGGUAUUGAAGGCAGUUUGAGUUUGGUUUUGAUUUUGUGGCGGUGGGGCAGUUUGAGUAUUCUGAGGAUGGGGUGGUAUUUGAGGGUGGUUAUUUGGAAGAGGUGAAGGAGUUUGGUAAGAUGCAGAAGCGUAUUGAGGGUUUUGGGUUGUGAGGUCAAUCACAGACGGAUUAUGCACGGGUGUAGAAGGCUGGUUCUGAGUUGGAUCUAUGUUUGAUGAAGGGAAGUAGACCGGAGGUCUUGCAUCAGCAAUAUUAGUACCAAAUCCAGGUGGAGGCGCAUCCUGUCUCCGUUGCAUUUCAACUUUCAUUUCAGCAAUCUGUUGCAUCAGUUGCAUGAUCAAUUCGUUCUGUUCCACUACAGUGGGCUGAGCCACCACAACGUCUGUAAGACGCCCUUCGUCAUUGUUGUCUCCCAUAACUGUUUUUCCUUUGUCUGAAUUUGAUCGAGGGAAGGAAUCUGUAGGACCUUUUGACCUGGUGAAGUAAGGAUGAUCUGCCAGCUUUAUCGACACAGAUCAGUAAAAGGUACCUGAGAGGUAGAAACAACUCAAAGGCAAAUUUGUUAGUGCAUAUCCAGAGUACAAAAUGCAUAAUAUCGCACAUAAAACAGAUAAACACACAAGUCGUUUUGUUUGAGGAUAUCUUAACCCACGAAUAAGGACGGAUAUAUAUUUUGAACAAACAGGAAUUUGUUUGUUUGGCGCUAUCUUGGGAAAUCUGAAUCACGUUGAGCUAUGGUCUUCUUGCAGCUGCUUUGCGACGUCCGUUGAUCUUAUCUUCGUAUCUCCGAAAUAUGGAGGAGAAUGAAAAUUUUCUGUGAUAGGGGCCGGGCCGGGAAGGCUGCCUACGUAUCUCACGGGGAGAAUUCAGGCCCAACGUAGUUCGGAUUUUAGGAUGAAAAUUUUCCAUUCAUUCUUCCGUUGUGAUUACAAGGAAAUUGAAAACAACAUUGAAACUUCUAGAAGACCACAAUUCGGAGAUUUCUUGUCUUGUGGCUGCGUAUUCCUUUCCUUUCAGACAGUCGAAAAUGGAGGCUUGUAGACGAUUUCUUCUUCAUCAUCCUCCUCAGUCACUUCACGGUCGGGGCCACUGUUAUCUGCUCCCUGAUCAUGGGCGAGGUAUUUUCCGCCCUUUGGGUCGCUAUGGGUCGCCAAUUCUUCGUCGAGCGCCGCGCUUCUGUCCAAUAACACAGCAGUCUCGAUAUCUAUCUUCGCCUCUCUCGCCUUUCCUUCGUGUAUCUCCAAACGAAGCAAGUUCAACCUUUUCCUUAGGCUUUCGGUUUCCAUCUCAACUUCCUUCUUUCUCUUUAUCUGUGACGCCAGAUCUUCAUCCAAGGUUGUGACCGCAGCUUUGUAGAUCGCCGUGGUCAUGUCUACUUUGAGCCCUUCCUCCUUAACCUUCUGAAUCUCUCGAGUAACUCGCUCGAUUUUUCUUCGCAAUUCCUCCUCAGUGAGCUCCGUCUGGACGUUCUUGCCUUUGUCCAUAGCGGUGAUUCGACUUUCCUGAGAUGAUAGAGCAGUAUUUAGGAUUUAUGGUAUGGAUUUUGUGUGAGAAACUUGAGACUCGGGAAUUUUGGUCGGACAUUUGUAAUGUUGGCUUCUGUACACUAUUUUGAAUUUUGGCUAGGAGUGGGUCUACGAUAUCCUCAUUCAAAGCAACAUAACACAUAAACAUUUAAACAAAUAUAUUGUGUCCUAAACAUGCAUGUGACCCUUUGUGCCAAGGGUAGGCCUAGCGAUCUGAAGGAUGUAUUGCGCCAUUUAAACAAGUAAUUGUACCCCCGAAACAAAUUUCACUAGAUGUCAUAGCGUUCAUUACACAAUCAAAUCAAACGGGAUACAUCUUGGGAAUGGGAUGCAAUGCAAAUACAUAUAUAAAUCAAUCCCACGCAGGGGAGUUAAAAGUCGAUGAUCCAGCUCCUCUUCUGGCCUUCUCCACUUCUUCUCGGAUAAUGCACUUGCUGGUGAACAUGUAUGGCUCAGCGAACGCAGCUUUGGAAGAUGUUGGUACGGCUUGUAAGGUGUUCAUCUGCUCAUCCAGAAUAGUGUCCAAACGUAUUAGACAAGUCCUUGUGUCGGCUAAUUCUUGUGACGUCACGGCCAAAAGUCUCUGAUUUUCUAAUUCCUGGAGUUGGUACGCUUGCUCCCUUUGUUGAAACUCCUGUUCCUUCUUAUGAAAUUCCUGCUCCCUUCGGUCCCACUCUUGCUAAAAAUGGUACGCGUAAAUCUGAAGCCUUGUCUCCACGUCUUCGAUUUUCCGACUCGUGCGUGGUGUUGGAUCCACUACACCACGCAAAUCUUUGUGCAACCAUGUCUUGUAUUCGUCGACAUACCCAGCUCCAUACCUGUCUUCGGUGACCUCCCACUUCAUGUUGACACGUCCGGCCCAUUCCUGGAGGAUAAUUUUAGCGAAAGGUAUUUUGUCCUUCUCGUUGUAAUCAACAAUGAAAGAGCUGGCAUCUCCUUGGGCGGGUAUGGUUUGGACUUUCCCAAAUUGCCGCAUUACUCGUGUCGGGUUGUAAGGGCGCAAUCCUCUGAUGCCGGGAAGGACUAAAAAUGGCAAUUUGGCCCCUUGUGCUGCUAUCAUCUGAGACCUGAAGCUCGGUAAUACCCAUUGUAUGUCUCCUUCUUUCAAAUUGUAAAACACCUUUGCCCACGCAUCCCUGGUGGUGUGAAUUGGAAAUUUACGGAUACUCAAGUAGAACUCAUAAUUAUCGAGAGGACUUGUUUGACUUGGUUCGGCCAAACCCUGUAGCUGGGGGUUGUCUCUUUUGCAUAGAUGUUCCGUCAACCACCAUUGAAGUAAGAUGUUGCAACCUUGGAAAAAUGGAAAACCAUUCUUGCACAGGCUCAAAGAUCGGUAAAUGUCGGACAAGAUGACUGGGGCCAAACAGCAAUAUUUCUUUUCUUCAGAUUUUUUACCGACUCCUCCGAACAUGGCAUUCACUACCAUUAUUACCCGGGUGUCGACCUCUUUACCUUCGUCUUUAGGGAACACCAUAGUUCCCAAGAGGCAUGCGGAGAAAGCGAUAGCUUGGGUUUGCCUCCAAGUACUGUGAUCAUGAAAUUCGUCCGGGAACAAUCUAAAAUAAUUGUCGUGCCCCCACCUCUCGAAAAACCUCAUCAGUGGAAUGUUGUGGGUCUCUAACCAAUUCGCAUUCACUAGGGAUAAUAUGUCUCUUAGCUCAGUCUCGGUUGGCCUAUCUGGCAGGAGAAUGUGAUGAUCGGGACGCUUUUUCCUUUUGCCACACGUCCCAAUCGAGUCAAGGCAAUCUUUGAUCUCUUCUAAUGUGGGUGUUAUUUCGAUAUCUCCAAAUCGAAAGACCAUCUUCUUAUCGUCCCAAAAUCGGGUGAUGACUUCGAUAAACGUGGGCCAUACCUUGAAGUCCAUUAUCGAAGGUAGGUGACCCAAGUAAAUCGAGAUUUCUCUCUUCUGACACUCCUUAAGAUUGCCCCACCAUACUCGAAGAAUGUCGGGUGCCUGGGUGACCAUUUUGAAGUGAAGGAACUGACUUGACAUCUACAAAAAUAUACAACUAGUUAAUUUUCAAUCCCCCCGAUACUACAACUAGUUAAACACGCAAUACAUCCUUCAAAUUUAAACAACAAACAUGAGCGUCCUAUCGAGCCGCAGGCUCUUUGGACUCAAGGUGGACUUUUCUAAUGGGCCCGACACUCCUUGGGUGUCGGGUCAUCUUAGGCCAAUGUGCUAUUUUCGGGAUUUGGUUUCGUUCUAUCCUAGUUUGACUAAGAGUAGGUUGUAUUUAGAGUGGAGUGGGUAACCCAAGCGGACUACUUGGGCUGGGACAAUUAACGAUCGUUGACUAUCAAGUAAUCAACUACACUCGUCAGGGUGCCCCGAGAAGAUUUUUGGUUAACGAACGACUGCGAACCCGCAUAAUCGUCCUUUAGUGGAAAUGUAAAAAGUGUCGUUUGACGGAAGUAUGUAUGCUAUGUAUGCAACAGUUUAAAAAAUCUAAAUAAUUUAAACACUUAAACAGUUAAUCACAAAUAAUCAGAUACGUUAAUCUUAAGGUUAGAAUCCUCCAAGUCCCCAGCGGAGUCGCCAUUUCUGUUUUAUCGAAAAAAGGAUAUUUUCGAAAAGAGUUUGUUUAAAGGGUAUUUUCGACUUUUAGGAGUCGCCACUUAAUUUUUUAAGAAAAAUCAAGAAAACUUUGUUUCUAAACAACCUAAACAGAACAAUUGUUUUGAAACAUUUUUUAAGGGUUCGGGAUUCUUAUUAGUGUCUUAGGAAGGUGUAAGGCACCUAAGACACUCCGUUAAACACGGUUUUCCGGCGAUUAACUUAUUUGACUACUUUUUAACCUUUUGCGAAUUUCUUGUUUUGAAGUUAAGAUUAUUUCAUUUAAACAAUUUUUUUUUGCAAUAUUUAUUGUUUUAAGCUUCCGUUUUAAUUUUUUUUUUUUUUUAAGUUUGAUAAAAUGGAACGCAUUCGAUGGGGUUUGGAGUUUCUAACCCUAAACUAUACAUCAUUCAACAAACACGAAAAGCAAAAUGGUAAAGAGAGAGGGAGAGAGAGAGAGAGAGAUUUCGGUCCAAGUCUUCGGGUUCUGUUCGCCUUGACCGAAUCUUGGACCCUAGCUGCCUUUGGGUAUUUGACCCAUUUUUGUGCCUGUCCUAAUCUAAACAUACAAAAUACUCUCGAGAGAAAUAAAAAGGAUAAGGGCUUAUGCCCGAAAUGAAUACAACAUAAUAACGAAUAAAUAAUCUUCUAAUCCGCCUUCUUCAAGUUCUUCAAUCUUCAAGGCAUUCGCUUGGCAUGUCUAUCCUGAUGGCUUGACUCGAAUAAAGAGAGUUUCGAGCCUUUACGGCUCUUCCGAAUGCAUAGAGAAAGAAUGGAGUCCCGCAAUGGACUCGAGAGGAGUUUUCACAUGCCACAAAAACAAAUGAAAUGAGAAUUGACAUUUUAAAAAUAAUAACUAAAAUAAACAAAUUCACAAACACAACAAGGGCUUCUUUAACACGUAAUACUAAUCAAAUAUUCACAAGAAUAGCAAAACCAACCUCCAACAACUUUAAUGGUAUUUAAAGCUAUAUAGAUCGUUUCAACCUAAGUGACACCAUACAACGAUACAUAAACUGUGCUGCAAAACAAGCGUAGAGAAACCUUCACACGAAAUUGUUGAUAACUCCAAAUCGCAUUUAAAGAAAAACUUAGCCAGAAACAAGUAGUGAAAUACUAUUGAAAUGCGUCACAUGGUUAAAUAUCAGCUAAUCAUUUAUGCUUAAAACACUUGAACAUCCCUCAUUUAACUUUAAGAGGGAUUUCAACAUAUGAAGCGAUACCAUCCAACAUCAAGCAGACUAGACAAGAAGACAACUCCAUUAACUUACCACAUGACUACCGAUUAAGCCAGCCAAAUACAAAUGGCGACUGCGAGAUGAAGACGGCCUUUCAAACCACAGAUUUCCAGAAAAGUUUCAGAUAACCAACGUGGCACACAAAAAAUGAAACGUUCAUUCAAGACUCCUAACAAGACAGAUUAUCCAAGCGAAGUAACAAUUUUGGAAAUAAAGACAAUGGAGAGGAUAAGCAGCCAUCAUGUAUUCAAGAACCAUAUACUUGAACAAGUUUAGAAAAGAAAACAAAUUUCAGGAGAAGAGAGCUCAAAGAUAUAAACCUGUUACCCUUACUACGAUACUCGAGACAAGCAAAUACACAACUACCCAACGAACAAACCACAACUAAUCCUAAUAGGCACCUUCAUAGCCAAAUAUCACCACAAGAACCAAUAUCUGUAUCGAUCAAAACGACCAUCACGCCGCCUACAAUCAGUCUAACAAUGUUGAAGCGAAGAUACUCAAUCGAAGAAGAACCUAAAAUCAAAACAAAUGGGCCAAAACAGAGUCGAAAUAGAGAAACCCGUAGGCAUUCGUUGCAUUGCAUCCAAUGUUUGAGACAGAAUGCAAGCAGAAAGAAGGACCCAUUUGAAAACUUAACAGCUAAACAAUGAAUUCAAAUCAGCAGAGAGAAUCAAACUUUACAAUAUUUAACGAUUAGGCGGGAAGCAAACCAGAAUUCCCACAAGCAACAACAACUAAACGCUUUCCAUAUCAGUCAACAAAUACACGUGAAAGAGGAAAACGUAUGAAGAUGAAAUAAUUUACCUCUUCGGGGGCAGCGAUACCGGGGGAAAACGAGUUUGAAAGAGGACGAUCUUCCACCACGCGAACUUGGUAUCUCGAACAGACGCCCGAAGGGACUGGCGUCGCCGGAACGGGAAGGCGAUGUCGUGGUCGAGACUGAAACGCAAGGCUGCUUUAGACUCUCACCUCUCUCUGUUCUUACGAAAUCGACAGCGAAACAGAAAAUUUCUCCGCUUUCCCAAACAAUUUCCAACUAUCUUUCUACAAUAAGGAACCAGAAAGUUUUCCAAACCCCCAAGAAAAACAACAGAACGACCCAAUAGUUUUUUCCAAAAAAAAUCUCCCCCUCUCCGAUGACUGAAAAAAAAUGGACCCCUUUAGAGAGGGACGCUAGGCCUCUAUUUGAAUUCGAAAUUCGAAAUUCCCUUGGGUCAAACCCACAUGGUCGACAUUGCAUGUUGCAGGCCUGUUCGACAGCGACGACUUGCGUGUUGCAGACCUGCUCGACAGCGGCAGGGUAUGGGUCUCUGCGGGGUUGUUGGCGAGUCGCGAAAUGGAGGGGGAAAGGAGAAGAACGUGGGGUUGUUGGCGUUUGCAGGAAAUGACGUCUAUUUUUCUGGGUUCUGUCGAGAGGGGAAGGAGAGAGCGAGCGUGGGGGAGACGCGGGAGAGAGGGAAGGAGAGGAGAGAGGACGUGAGGGAGACGCGGGGAGAGACGCGACGGGGUCUGCUGGCGUUUUUUCUUUCUCUGAAAAACGCGUGAUUUCUGGGGAAUUAUUUGGGUUUCUGAUUCUGGGAAUUGCGUGAAAGGAAGAAGAAAGGGGAAGGGUUGUCUGGGUCGGGUCGGGUGGCGGGUCGAAGGGAUGGGCGGGUAUUUUAAAUUAAUGGGUUGGGAUGUUUGGGCCUGAGAAUUUGUUGUUAGGGAUGUUUGGAUUAAAAACAUUGGGCCUGAGAAUUGUUUGGGUUGCUUGAAAGGGUGGGCUGCUGAAGAAAGGGAGAUUGGGCCUGGGCGUUGGGCUGGAAAAGGGGAAGAGAAAUGGGGUGGGCUGAAAAUAAACAAAAGGGAAAUGGGUUGGAGGAAGGGAAGCCUUAAGAUACACACAUAUACAUAUACAUAUAUGUAUAUACCUAUAUGUAUAUAUAUACACAUCUAUCUUAUUUUCGCAAGAUUUAUAAAGCCAACUAACUUUAAAUAAUUUAAAACUCACGAAGUUCGAUAAUUAAUUUAUACCAACGCGGGUCAAAAAUUGGGUGUCAACAGACACCUCUUUCUAACCUGGUUUAAUCAUCUAUUAUUCAACAAUUGAACCUGACUCCAUCAUUAAAGCUGACUCUGACACCACUUGUUAGGACGGAAAAUAAGCAAAUAUAAACGCGGAAGUUAGCAAAGCAAACCUCAAAAGUUAUGUCAAAUAUACAAAAUUGUACUUUAAUCUUGUGGUCUUAACAUGUCACUGUCACGUGGAAAGUUGUUACUAAAAAAAGAAAGAAGUUAUUUAUGUGAUGAGAUAGUGAAAUUUUUUAUUUCUUAAAAAAAUUAAUUUUAUUUCAAUUUAUGUGAUAAGAUAGUGAAAUUUUUUGAAUAAUCAAUUUUGCAAAACAAAAACGUCUCUAUUAGUUGUCCACUCCAUAUUGCAUGUCCUUUGAGUAAUUAAAUGAAAAUGAUAAUUUUACUAAUUUAUCUCGUUUAGAACUUUUCACACUUCUUUAUACUUUAAAAACUUUUCACACGUCUUUAUACUUUAGAAAGAAUAACUACUGUAAGAAUAAAAAUGAGAAAUUGCAUUGAGUUUGUUAAGAUUUAUACUUUAAAAAUAAGAAUUACAAAAAUAAGUGAUAAUCUUGAAUCUAUUAGACAGAAACAAUAAUUGCUAAAUUAUAAAUAUAAGAUAAUAACCCUAAUGAGUAAUGACAAUCUUGAAUCUAUUAGUCAGAAUCAAUAAUUGCUAAAUUAUAAUUAUAAGAUAAUAAUAAAUGGAAAAAAGGAAUUAGCAGAAAACGAAUAAAGAUCAUACAGUCUAGCACAAACAACGUACUUAAAGAAUUUAUUAAGAUGAUUAAACAAGUGAAAAAAAAAGUUUAAUGUUAAGUUACACUUCUUUUUAAUUCGGUUCAAUUAAGACUUGUUAGAAAAUAAAUAAAUAAAAAGAAACAGUAGCUGUAAGAAAAAGACAUGGAGUAAUUUUCACAUAUAAUAAUGUGAGCUAUAAUACAAAUGUGUAGUCAGUAUUACAAUGCUUGUACCUUUGAUUCAGUAUUUUAAAUAAAAAAUCAAAAACCUUUGAAUUUGUGAUUUAAAAUCAUUAGAAGAUAUAAAUGUAGUUGUUCAUUAUCUCAUUGGGAAAAUAGGGAAAAUUGUAAAGUAAAUUGUUUCUAAUUAUAGUAAAUUAAUUUUUUUUAUAGAUGAAUUAAAAAGGUAUCAUAUAAAACGAAAUUGAAAAUAUAUUUGUGUAGUUGUUCAUUAUUUCAUCGGGAAAAUAGGGAAAAUUAUAAAAGUAAAUUGUUUUUAAUUAUAGCAAACUGAUAUUAUCUCCGUCCCUAAUUACUUGUCUACUUUUCUUUUUAUAGUUGUCCUUAAUUACUUGUCCAUUUUGACAAAUCAAGAAAGGACAAUUUUCUUUACCUAUUAUUAUAUCCACAAUUAAAUGACUAAUUAUUUUUAAAAAUGUAAAACUUUUCAUCCACUUUAUAUUAAUAGGGAUAAAAUGAUAAACUUACUACGUCAUUAAUUAUUUUCUUAAUAGAUAUGUUAAUUCAAAAGUGGACAAGUAAAAAGGAACAAAAAGAAUAUUAUUUAAGACAAAUUAAAAAAAAAGUACUCUAAAAAACGAAAUUGAAAAAAAUAUAAUAUAAUAUCACCUGACUUAUUUAUUAUAAAAAAAAAAUAUGUGUAGGUUUGAUUUUCUUACUGAAAAGGUGAUAACGCUACUUUCGUGAAAAGUGAAAAUAAUUUUAUUAACUGAGUUCAUAUUAAAAUAGGUCUUCAAAUUAAUUUGGGCAAUAAUAACUCAGGGUCAAUAAUUUUAUUAGAAACAACUUAAAGAACAUUGAAGGCUAAGCCAAACUUCAUUAAGAGAAAUCAUAUCGAAUAACUUUAUAGAAUAAAUCUUGAUAAUUAAAAUCACAAAAAUCAAAAUCAAAAUAUCUAUUAUUGGGAUGCAAAUAGAACCAUACAAGGAGAGACGAGGAAAAAAUACAAUUAUUGUCUCAAUCAAACGUCACCAAAUGGUCCAAUUUAGCACAUGUUGAAUAAUGUUGCACGUUCGUGGUCACUAAAGUCAUUUUCUUUAAAUUAGGUGUAAUUAAUAUUACAUUAUGAAGAACCCAUUAAUUUUAUUAACAUUAUAUUAUUAUUAUUGUUAUUAUAUAUAUAUAUAUAUCGAGUAAAGGUUUAAAGUAAACUUUAUAUAAGGAAUUUCGAUAAAUAAAAUCACAAAAAUUGAAAUUGAAGUAGAAGUUAUUGGAGAUGCAAAUAGAAAGAUAAAAGGAGAGACGAGGACAAAUAAAAUUAUUGUAUCAAUCAAAUAUCACCGGUUGGUUCAAUCUAAACACGUGAUGAAUGAUGUUACACGCCCAUCACUAGUUGAGUCAUUUCCUUUUCAAUUAGUUGUAAUUAAUUUACACGAUCAAGAACCCAUCAAUUUAUUAACAUUUUUUAUUAUUACAAGUAUAAAAGAUAAUUAAAUAUAUAUAUAUAUAUAUAUAUAUAUAUAUAUAAGGAGAGAUGAGGACAAAUAAAAUUAUGGGAAAAUUGUAUAUAAUAGCAAACUAAUAAUCUAAAUUAAAUGGAAUAGCUAGGGUUUGAUUUAAUUGUGCUCCAUAGCAAACAUUAGCUAAAAUUUGUCAGCGUCUCUCUCCCAAAAAUCUCGCUCGCCACUCUCCAUUCUCGCUCGCCUCUCUCGCUUUAUACACAGAAGUGUAUAAUUCUGUUUCUGUUUUGUAUAAAGCGAGAGAAAAUUGUAUAUACACAUGCAAAAAUGUAUAUCUUCGUGUUAUACACUUAAUUAUACAAUUUACAAACAUUUUACUUCAAAUAUUGCAGAGAAAAAGGCCAACGAAUUAUACAAUUGCAGUGAAAUACAAUUUUCUCUAGCUUUAUACAACAGAAGUGUAUAUAUUGUGUUUCUGUUUUUGUAUAAAGCGAGAAAAACAUAUAUCUUCUUGCUAUACACUUAUAAUUAUGCAAUAUACAUAUAUUUUAUGUCGAUUCAACUGUAUGCAAAACAAAUUAUACAAUUGCAGCGAAAUAGGCCAGCGAAUUAUACAAUUUAGGCCAGCGAAUUAUACAGUUGUAUAUGUAUAGCAAAUUAUACAGUUUUAUGUUUGCUAUGGAGCGCAAUUAUGCAAAAUUUGCUAUAACAUACAAAUAUGAAUUUUUUGUUUGCUAUAUGUGAAAGUUGCCCUAAAAUUAUUGUAUUUAUCAAUCAAUAUCAGCUGGUCCGAUUUAAACACGUGAUGAAUAAUAUUAAGGAAAAAUUAGUAAACUAGUCAAAAUAAAUAACAUAUUUAGUAAAAAUAUCCAUACUUUAUAAAUAUUAGCAAUAAUGUCAAAAAUGUCAUUAUUUUAAAAAUUUAUGUGUCCCAAUUUUCUUCCUAUUUUAUCUCUCUUUUUCAAUUAAUUCUAUAUAUCCUUUUCCUCCAACAUUCAAGUUGCAAAUAUUUUUUUGCCAUAUAUUUUGGUUGUUUUUUUAAUCCAAAAUUGAAUCAACUAGAAUCCCUUUGAUUAAGGUAUUUCUAAUCUUUAUCCUAUUUUCAGAUUUCUUUUCUAAUUUUAUUUUUGUUUAAAUCUUAAAAAAAUAUUGUUUGUAUUUUUCAAUUUCCGUUAUGAUUUACUCUCCAAUGGCUGAAUCCAAGAGGCUUACUAGAGGUAUUCAUCUUAAUCAACCAAUUUCUGGUGACUUUUCAUCCUUUAAUUUAUUUAUUAUUUAACAAAUAGUGUAUAAUGUAUGAUCCGCUGCUAAAAUGAGGGAAGGAAGAGGGUAAGAACAUUUGCAAGACUCAUAGGUGUGCAAAACCUUCCUCAAAUUCAGAACGCAAAUGUAGAAUCUUUGUCUACUCGUGAGGAUCUUGAAAAAAACGACGAAGAUCGGAUAGUUGUCGAACAAUUUUCUAUUAGUUUGUUUUGUAUUUACAGUUCUUUUUUAGAAUUUGGUAUGCUUUCUUUAAUUUGUAUUCAAAUCACUAUGUAUACUAUCAAUAUUUAUAUUUAUUAAAAAUUUCAUGUUGCAUGGUUUAUGAAUCUUGUAUUUGUCCCUAAUUUGUAUUCAUCCAAAUGUUUGUCAACUAGUUAUGUAUUUUAUUUAUAAGAAGAACAACUUUCUAUUAGUUUAUUUGUAUUCGAAUACAAAUACAAAUAAUAGACAUAUUGGAACGAAUACGACUUAGAAAAGAAAACAAGAUUUUGAAAAGAAAAAUAAAUACAUAGUGAAAAUAUAUACGAAUACAAAUGUAUUUCUUAAAUAGCUACAUUUUAUUUGACAUACAUAUUGAAAUGAAUACAAACUAAUAAAGGUAUGUCAACAGAUAUUUGAUAUUUUUUUCUAAUUUGUAUUUAUUCUAAAGGUAUGUCAACUAGUUAUGUGUUUUAUUUAAGAAUGAGUACACCAAAUAUUCAAUUAUUUCUUUUCAAUUUUAUAUUUCAUUCACUUUUUCAUCAUACUAAUUUUUUUGUAUUUUAUAUAUUAUUAUACAAAAUUCUAAAUAAAAACUAGAAUAAAUAGAAAUACAAAUAAAAUACAUAUUGAAAUGAAUACAUAUAGGAUUUUUGAAGAAAAAAAUAACUAUAUAGGGAAAAAAAAUAUGAAAAUACAAAUAUAUUUCUUAAAUGACUAUAAAGAUAAAUUCGGCAUACCUAUUGAAAUAAAUACAAACUAAUAAAAAACUAUAAUAAAUAUAAAUAGAAUAUAUUGUGGAAUGAAUAUAACUUUAAAAAGGUAAAAUUCUGGAGAAAAAAAAUAAAAUUUAAAUUUAAUUUGAAAAUGUAACUGAUGAAAAAAUUAAGGAUGCUUGCCUUUUUUUGAAAUUCCCCCCCCCCCCUCCUUAAUUUUCUCCUUUUUGUUAUUAAAAAAUUAUAUUCUUUAAAUAAAAAUAAAUAAUAAAAAUAUACAUAACAAACUAAAAUGACAUUUUUACUAAAUAUUGAAGUUGUUGCUAAUGAGUCCUUUUAAAUGCUAAAAUAUUGACAUUUUAAAAAAAUUCCCUAAUAUUAAUCAGCCAAUAUUGGUCCACUUAAAUCUGGUACGAUAAUGGAUGAACAUUAGUGAAAGGCUGAAAGCAACUUGUCAAUGGAUCUUUUUUCAAUAUUGCAUGAUAGCUUUUUAUCGUUUUUCUAAAUCUUGUUAUUGACCUAUUUGUUUUUUAAAAAAUCAGUUUCAAAAUAAAAGAAGUAAUCUAUCUUGAAUAUGAAAAUUUAACAUUUAUUUUUCAAAACUAGAUUGGUAGUAUGUAACACAAUCAUUCAAUCAUCAAUACAAUACUUGAUUCUUCACAUAUUUGUGAGAAUUCUACAAUAUUACCUUAUAUUUUGUUGUUUCACCGUCAAUUUUUGGUUUAUUUGUUUUUGCCAAACAACAUCCACUUAUUCUUCAUGGUAAAAUGAAGUGUUCCCUUAGCUCAAUAUUAUAAAUAAGAUUAGGACAAGAGAGAUUGAUUUAGGAAAGUAAGGAUAAAAUAAAAUGUUCAAUGUUAUAUGUUUAGCUGGUCAUAUUAAAUGGGAUGGAUCAUUAAAUGGUCUAUAUGAAUAUAUAUUUGGAUCUUAUAAUUUUGGUUAAGAAUUAAGAUUUCAUUUCAGCAAAUUUUAAUGAAAAAAAUAAUUAAAUAGGUUGAGUGACUUUCUAUGCAAAGAAAACAUAGUUGAAUGACUUUUGAGUUGAAAAUGAAAGUUGAGUGACUUUGUGUGAAAAAACUUAAUAGUUGAGUCACCAUGAAAAUUAUUAACUCAAAUUGUUAGUCAUUGCCUUGUGUAUACCAAAGUUAGCUAAAUAAUUCGCAACUGAAUCUUUGAAAGUAAAUUACCUAAUUUUAUAUUAGUUUUGCAUUACUUAAACUAAUUAAUAGUUGAUGAAAAAAAGAUAUAAGACAUAAAAUCAAGACUGCUGAAGUUGUCUCGAAUUUUCAAAAAGACAUCUUAACUUUUCAUAAGGCUGGGCAAUGGAACGGGAUGUACCGAUAUCGUUCCGGUUCGUCCUGAUUUGGUUGCCUACGGGACGGAACGGGACAUCUCGAAUCGGGACACGGAAUGGAACCGAGGUUUGGUACCGGUGUACCGGUACCGAUUCAUCCCAAUUUAUUCCGGCUCUGUUUCGAUCCGAUCCUGUUUCGAUCUGGUACCGAUUAAUUAUUAUUUGCUAAUUAAUUUAUAUUAUAUAUUUAUUAAUUAAUUUAUAUUUUAUAUUAAAUAAUAAAUACUUCCCAAGUAACCCAACUAUCCCCUAUUAGUAUUACAUUCGAGACCUAGUUGAAACAUAAUCCUUCCUAGAAGGUAGUUGCGUAAACUAUGCACUCUACUAGUAGUUGUAAAUUGAAAUUGUAAUUUAUAAUACAAAUUUAAAUAAAUUAAAUUGACAUUUUUUAAUUUGUGUAAUUGUUUUAUCCUUAUUUUUAUUUAAUUUUUUAAAAUUACAAAUUUAAUUUAUUUAAAUUAAAAGUUAUAAAUAUUACUUAUAAAUUAUAACAUAUUAAUAAAUAAUAAGUAAUAACUUAUAAACUUCAAAAGAUUUAAAUCUUGAAAACUUAAUUAGAAUUAACUUGCAAACAUAAUAAGUAAAAUUUUUAUAAAAAAAUAUCUUUAAAAUGAUUGGUGUAUGAACACACUUAAUUCUUAAAAUUUUGGAGCUGAUCGAAAAAUGAUAUAAUAAUAUAUGUUCAGAAUGUUUUAGUGGGAAAAUAAGACAGUUGCAAAUUUAAGAUGUCUUUUUGCAAAUUCAUGACAACAUCACUCUAUAUGUUUUUUCUCUAUAUAAAAAAAAUUUACCUAUGAAAAUGGUAAGAACUAUCACGACCUGAUGAAAUUGUAGAUCAUAGAAGUAAUAAAUAAUAUUGUGUGGGGAUGCUCAAGAUGUGCUUUCGACGAUUAUCCUUGUUUAAAAGUUGUAUUUUGAAAAAUUAAAACUUAUUUUUAAUCAAACUCUAGCUAAAAUGAUAAAUUUUUUGUAUUUAACAAAACAAAUUAAAUGAUUUCUCUAUUGAUGUUUGGUUGAAAAUAAUCAUUGCAAAAAAAUAAUUCAUUUUUCAUUUUCAAUCAACAACUAAAGAAGCAAAAUCGUAUUAGAUUUCUAGAAAGAAACAAAUAACAAUUGCACUCAAUUAUCAUUAUUAUUACAAUUGCAUUCGAGUACUUGUCAUGUUCUAUAAACGUUCAAUGAUUGAAUGUUAAAAAUAAAAUUUUUGAAAGCAAAAAACAAUAAAUAUAAAAUGUCAAAAUGUGGAUUUGUCUUAAAACUAAAUAUUAAAAAUUAAAAUUUUAUAUUAAUUAUUAACACACUAUAUUAAGCAAAAAAAAAAAUAGGGGAAAAAACCAGAGAGGAGAAAGACUAAAAGAGUAUUACAUACCAUGGUGAUUUGUUUUGAACACCUUCUUGAUAGUUAAAUAUUUUACUCUUAAUCUACAUAUAUUUUACUCUCUAAGAACCAAAGUAACAUCUGUCACAAUAAAUUAUGAUUAAUGAACUUCUUUUUAUAUAUAUUAUUCUAGAUUCUGAACGAUUUUUUAAAAGUAAUAUAUAUCUGAUAGCUAGAUUAAAAAAGAUUACUUUAAAUUAUUGUUAAUUUUCUCAUAUAUUCGGCAUAAUUUCAAUAUAUUAUGAUUUAAUGAAAAGUAAUCAUUAUCUAGCACCUUCACUUUCCCUUUUGAAAUCAAACAUUGAAAUAUAAUGCGUCAUUUGAUAUUAUAUCCUACAAAAGUAAGAAAUUAGGGUUACAAACAGUAUAAUGGUGACAUAAUAUUUGUGUUAUAAUUGACAUUAUUAUAUAAGAAAAUAACGGCGAUCAAUUUCGUUACUCGCUAAUAAAAAAAUCUUUUUCUCAAAUGUAUUAUUUUUAUAUAUAUGAAUUGUUUUUCUAUAUGAUAAGUCAUAAUCCAACAAAAGUAAAAAAAAAAAAAAGAAAGUGUAAUUGGAUAUUCUACUUAUUGCUCUUGUUUUUCUAAAUAAAAUCCUUAGGGUAACACAAGAAGGCUCGCAUUUCAUGUUAGUUCAUAUGUCUUUAUUGAUUUAGCAACAUUUUUAAUCGUUUUUCUUGUUUCACUUAUUGUUAUAUUAUUUUAAUAGAAAUGGGUUUAAAUAUUGUUGAAUUAUAGUAAAUUUAAUAAAAAAUAUUUUCAAUUAAUAGUUUGAUCCAAAACUGCUUCUAAAUAUAAUACACUGACUCGAAAAAGCAAGAAAUCGAGGAUAAAAUUGAUGUAAUGGUGACACAGUAUUGUUAAUUAGAAGAAAUAUCUGCUUUUUUCCCUCAAAGUUACUAUUUAUUUGUUAUUUUUUUAUGUUUCUCUACGAUGAGUCAUAAUUUGACGGAAAUUCCACCCCACAGUGCUUCGAUUUUUCAAUUACCAUCAAUUUUCUUACUUGUUUUGGCCAAUGGUUAAUCCUAAUUGUAAUCCCAUGCUUGGUUGCAUGCUAUUAUCUAAUGACUAUCCUAAUUGGGCAACUAUAACCUACUGGAAAGCUUGAUCAACAUAUGCGAGGGGCGGAUCCACAUGGUAUUUUAUAAAUUCUCGAGCAUCCAUUAAUUUCAUAUCAAAUUAUAUAUAUUUAUAUAAAAAAAAUUUAAAAAAAAUCAUAUAAAACUUAUCGGCAAGCAUCCAUUAAACAAAUGCUUUGGUUGGUCUGGUGGUUAUAAGUGGGAGCUGAAUGUCGUUUCUCGGUCGAAUGCCACAGUUAAUUCCCCAAGGACAUUAAUUUUGGUUUAAAAUUCAAUUCAUCUCUUUUUACUUAUUUAUUUUGCUGAUUUUUUUUUAAUUAUUUUUCUUCCUAUGUUUGAUUUGUUUUUUUCCUUUCACAAACUGUAUUCCUGAAUUUUUCUAAACAUACAUUUAUAGAAAAAACUUUGUCAUCUUCCUUUUUUUUUUUUAAGUUUAAAAUAAUUUUAUUGUAGUUAUUUAUUGAUUUUUCUUCAUAUCAUAUAUAAAUAUAAUUGUCUUUUUUAUAACGAAUGUUAAAUUUGUACACUUACAUUUUGUAAAUGGUAACUACAUGCAAUUCCCGUGUAGUCUUGCGGCGUCCCCUUUCCCAUCUUUUUCUAAAUUAAUUAUGACCUAAAAAGUGACAAAUCCUCCAAAUUUAUUUUAAUAUAAAUGGGUCAAAUAGUAUAGGUCAUUAAAUAAAUUAUGAACUUAGUUUAUUAGUUAUAAAUUAAAUUAAAUAUUUAAAAAUUAAUUAUCAAUUAAUUUACUCUACUUAAACGAAUAGUUUAAAAUUCUCAAAUCAACUUCAUUGACUAUCAUGAAUGACUCGUGAUAACUAUCUAUAGGGAUAAAAUGGUAAUUUUAUAAAAGUUUUUAAAAUGACAUUGCGGCUCAUUACAAAUGCAUGAGUUAAAAAAGCUCAUAUGUUUAAGUAGAAUAUAUGGGUUAAAAGUGGAACCCUAGCAUUAAAAGUUUGUUGGGGUUGAAAGUUGAUUUUGUUUUUAAGGAUAGAGUAGCAGAAUAUGUUGAAACUAUAUCUGAAAUUUUUCUCCACAUGUAGUAACACGCGAUUUCUACCUGGCAAAAUGCGUGAAAUGCACGCUUUAUGCACGAGUGAGGGGUAAUUUUCAAAGUCCACAAAGGAUAAAAAAAAUGUUGAAAUGACAAAUCUACCCUUAAUGAAUCUCUUUUAUAUUAAUUAAAAUUAAUUUUAAUUUUUUUUAGUUUCAAAAUGAUAUGUAAGGUAUUUUUUUUGAAAAAAAGACAUGUAAAAUGUUUAGUUAAUUGGCAGCCACUGAUUGACUCACUGAUAUACGUGGGAGCGUUUGCAUUUCACGCACUUUGGCUCCAAAAAUCGCGUGUUUAUUUAUUGAAAGAUAGGAUAGUUAAAGUGCUUAUUUGUGCACUAUGAAAGUUUGAGAUCAAAAUUAAAAUUUGAAGCCAAGUUUAGGGUCUAAUAUAUGUAUUAUGCCUAGAAGAAAUAUCUAUUUUAUUUCCCUCAAAAUUACUACUUCCUCGGUAAAAAAGAAUGAUCUCAUUUCCUUUUUAGUCUGUUUAAAAAAGAAUGACCUCUUUCUUUUUUUGGUAAUAACUUUACACAUGACAUGUUUAAGGCCACAAUAUUAAACCACAAUAUCGUAUAUUUGACAUAACUUUAAUUUAGAACCACAUGAUCAGAAAUCUUUUUUAUUUUCUUAAAGUUCGUGUCAAGUCAAACUAGAUCAUUCUUUGUAAAAAGGAGAUAAUAUUUUUUUAUGUUCUCUAUGAUGAGUCAUAAUUUGACGGAAAUUAACAACUUCCGUUUCAUAAUUUGAAGAAAUUAACAACUUUCUUUAAUAAGAAGAACAUUUUUAACCAAAUAAUUUGACGAAAAACAUAUUUUGAGCUGAAAUAUUUUUAAGAGUAAAUAUAAGUUAUUUUUAAUAGUUUUUUGACGCGUUUACUUUUUUAGUAUAAUGAUAAAAGUAAAAAUUAGACAUAGGAAUAGUAUUUUGAGCCUAACAUAUCAAGUUCCCAGGUAAGAUGAGAAAAAUUCGUAUUACCCUUUGACGUUUGCUUCUACGCGUUAUCCUGUGCUUUUAGCAAUUAAAAAAUAAAUAAAUCAUAAGAGCAAUAUAUUAUUGUCCUUUCUUCUAUCGAUAAUUAGACUGAUAAUUUCUAUCCUAAUAAUUACCUAAUUUAAAUUACCAGAUGACUUUUCAAACAAACUCCUAAGAUGUUUUACAUUAUCCUAGUAUAUUAUUAUAAAAGUUGUUUGUGGAGAAAAUGUUCAAUCAGUUAGGUUAGUUCUACUUCUUUUGUUUAUUUUUAUUGUUUACUUAUUCAAAAAUAAAUUUAUUUUUAUUAGUCAUUUUUAACAUAUCAAUUUUUUUUCCUACAAAGCCGAUGAUUCAAUAAGCCCCGAUUUUGUAAUUGAAAAUGGUUCGUAUCAAUCUAUGAAUAUUUUCGUUCGUAUCAAUCACACCCAAAAAGAAGAAGAAGAAGAGGCAUCAAUUGAGAAAGAACAACAAAAGAAAAGAACCCCGAGGAUAAGAGGAAAAAAAAUGAGGAGAGACAUUAAAUAAUUAGGAGAAUAAACGUAAAAUGAAAAUGGUUCGAUAAAAUAAAAUAAAAUUUACCUAUCAAAAUGGUAAGUACUAUAGCAAUCUGAUGAAAUUAUAGAUCAUAGAAGUAAUAAAAAAGAAAAUUUACUUUGAUCAUAUAUUUAGUGACAUAUUGUCUUAUUUAAUCAGUUAUGGGGGUAAUAUACUCUAAUUAAUAUUGUGUGGGGAUGCUCAUUGCUCAAGAUAUGCUUUCGAUGAUUAUCCUUUGUUUAAAAGUUGUAUUUUGAAAAAUUGAAAUUGAUUUUUAAUCAAACUCUAGUUAGAACGAUAAUUUUUUUGUGAUUUGCUAAACAAAUUAAAUGAUUUUCUCUUGAUGUUUGGUUGAAAAUAGUUUUUUGCAAAAAAGUAAUUGAUUUUUCAUUUUCAAUCAACCACUUAAGAAGCAAAUUCGUAUUUGAUCUCUAGAAAGAAACAAAUAACAAUUGCACUCAAUUAUCAUGAUCAUUAAAAUCGCAUUCGAAUACUUGUCAUGUUUUUUACACGUUCAAUGAUGCAAUGUUAAAAGUAACAUUUUUGAAGGUGAAAAAAAAUAAAUAUAAAAUGUCAAAAUGUGGAUUCGUCUUAAAAUUCAAUUUAUAAUAAUUAUUAAUACGUUAUAUUGAGCAAAAAAAAGAGAAUAAGGAAAAAACCAGAGGGGAGAAAGACUAAAAGAGUAUUACAUACCAUGGUGAUUUUAUUUGAACACUUUCUUGAUAGUUAAAGAUUUUACUCUCAAUUUACAUAUAUUUUACUCUAUAAGAACCAAAGUAACAUCUAUCACAAUAAAUUAUGAUUUUUAAAUUUUUUUUAUAUAUAUUAUUCUAGAUUUAGAACGAAUUCUUUUAGAAGUAAUAUAUUGCUGGUAGAUGAGAGAAGACUACUCUAAAUUAUUGUUACUUCUCUCAUGUGUUCCGCGUAAUUUCAAUAUAUUAUGAUUUGAAUGAAAAAUAAUCAUUAUCUAGCACCUCACUUUCCUUUUUGAAAUCAAACAUUGAAAUAUAAUCAGUCAUUUGAUAUUAUAUCCUACAAAAGUAAGAUAUUAGGGUUACAAACAGUAUAAUGGUGAUAUAAUAUUUGUCUUAUGAUUGACAUAACAAGAAAAUAACUACGAUCUAUUUCGUUACUCACUAACAAAAAAAUCUUUUUCUCAAAUAUACUAUUUUAUAUAUAUGAAUUUGUUUUUUCUAUGACAAGUCAUAAUCCAACAAAAGUAAAAACAAAAAAAAGUGUAAUUUGAUAUUCUACUUAUUGCUCUUUGUUUUUCUAAAUAAAAUUCUUAGGGUAACACAAGAGGGCUCGCAUUUCCGGGUUAGUUCAUAUGUCUUUAUUGAUUUUGCAACAUUUUCAUUAGUUUUUUUUUCACUUAUUAUCAUAUUAUUUUAACACAAAAGGAUUUAAAUAUCGUUGAACUGUAGUAAAUUUAAUAAAAAUAUUUUCAAUUAAUAGUUUAAUCUAAAUUGCUUUUAAAGAUAAUACACCAAUCCAAAAAGCAAGAAAUCGAGGAUAAAAUCGAUGUAAUUGUGACACAAUAUUGUCUUAUGGAUAAAAUUAUUGUAUGUGUUAAUAACUACCGUCAAUUUCUUCACUUGUUAAUUAGAAGAAAUAUCUGUUUUAUUUCCCUCAAAGUUACUGCUCCCUCGGUAAAAAAGAAUGACCUCGUUUCCUUUUUAGUCUGAUUAGAAAAGAAUGAUCUCUUUCAUUUUUUGGUAACAACUUUACACGUGACAUGUUUAAGGUCACAAGAUUAAAGGACAAUUUCAUAUAUUUAACAUAACUUUAAUUUAUGACCACAUGAUCAAAAAUCUUUUUUUAUUUUCUUAAAUUUCGUGUCAAGUUAAACUAGGUCAUUCUUUGUGAAACGGAGGGAGUAUUUUUUUUAUAUAUCAAAUAUAGUGAUUGUUUUUGGUAUAAAUAAUACUUGAGCAUUUAAGCAAUCCUACGUGUAUAACAAAUAAAAUGAAAGAGAUGAGAAUUAGCAUUUUGGCUCUGCUGGCUUUGUUCCUCCUUGAGGCGGUGUUAGCCAAUGAAGUAUUUGAUGUCCCCAUGAAUGAAACGAUUGGGGUUGAAAGUAUAAAUGCAUCUGUAGGGGGAUACCCACGAUGCGGAGCGCAAGGUGAUGGCGGAAACUGUCCUAGUGGAAUGUGUUGUAGUGUAUGGGGUUGGUGUGGAAAGACAUAUGGGUAUUGUGCUCCUCAAAACUGUCAGAAACAAUGUCCAGCCCCGUACCCAGAGGGACGUUGCGGCUGGCAAGCUGAUGGUAAAUCAUGUCCUAAUGGAAAGUGUUGUAGUUAUGGUGGUUGGUGUGGGACCACAUCAGAUUAUUGUGCUCGUCAAAACUGUCAAAAACAAUGUAUAUUACCGUCACCUCCUCCUCCACCACCACCUCCACCCGGAUUUCCACGACCAGAAUGUGGACUGCAAAAGAAUGGUGAGAGAUGUACUAAACCCGGAGAGUGUUGUAGUAUAUGGGGUUUGUGUGGAGCCACAUACAAGUAUUGUGAUCCUCAACAUUGUCAGAAACAAUGUUCAGCUCCAUUCCCACCAGGACGGUGCGGAUGGCAAGCUGAUGGUAGACCAUGUCCUACUGGACAAUGUUGUAGUUUCUCUGGUUGGUGUGGGACCACAUCAGCUCAUUGCACUUACCCACAAUGUGUGAGCCAAUGCAACGAUCCUCGUUUCCCCUCAUCCCUCAACAAUCGUAUUCAAAGUUUCAUGCUCUAGAGGAUCCUCUUUUGGAACUCGACAAGUGUGUGUAAUAAUAAUGCAUGAAGAACAUAAUAAUAGUAAAUAAAGACCUUUUGUCUACAACCAUAUUUUAAUUACAACAACUAUUUAGAUUUCAUGUUUGGCGUCGUUCCUGUAUUCCCAAAUACUGCAAGAGGAUGUACAUGCUAGUCGGACCUUUGUUAUAUAUAGGAAUCUUCAAAGUUAAGCAAAAAUAAAUAAAAUUAAAAACUAAUAUAUUGAACGAUGGAGCACCCACCAUCAAAGACUUGUGUUAUAUAUAGUCCUGAUUGAGUUGAAAAAAACAAAUCUUACAUAUCAACAUAAUUAACUCCUCUUGCUUGAGAAUUCCGAAGCUCAGCUUUUACAAAUUAAUAUAUAUUUUCUGUCUCAUCUUUUUUUUGUAUCUCAUAGGAUAGGCUUAUUUUAUAGCCAGAUGAACAAUUUGCAACUAGUUUUCUCUAUAAAUUAGUGCUUAAAAUCAAUACAAUUAAACAUAUAAUUUAUAUUUGCGGGUAAAUUAUAAUUAUGCUUUACUAAUAGAUAUGGACAAGUUUCUUUGACCUACUAACUCAAAUAUAUUUUUCUCUCUUUAAAAUCUUUCAAAAAAUUUGCCCCUUUUCCCCCCUCAUUUUGUUGUGAAGGAAUAAAAUCACAAGGACAUAUUGAAGAUAAAAUUCAAAUAGUUGUCUUCAAUUACUUUAUUUAUUUUGUCUUUUACUUGAAUUAAAGAUUAAAAUUGUAAUUUUAAGUUAUAAAAAUGGUGAAAGCUCCUGAAUAAGGGCAGUAAAAUAAAAAUACUAAUUUGCCGACCCAACCUAUUGCACAACGUCUUUCAUCAAGUAGUCACUCAACACGUUUCAAUGGCUACGACGAAAACAUUAAUAUCAAUCCAAAAUAAAAAUAUUUGACUUUUCAUAUUUUUAGAUCAGUUAGAAAACGAGUUUAAAAUUUAUUUUCAAGUGGUCCUAGAUUUACAAAGGGUAUACUUUAAUAUCAAUCCAGUUGGUAGAUAAAGAAAUAACUUCACUUUCUAUUUAUUGUUCUUACUCUUUAAUGUAGUACUAUAUAAUUUUUAUACUAUAUAUUUAUCGAUAAAAAAGACAACAAUGAAACGAGGAGUAGUUGUAUUGCUGAAAAAAGUUACCAACGAGGGUUCGGGUGGAGUAGUAAUUAAGUAAUUCAUUUUUAAUCAAAAGAUUUCAGAUCAAACCCUUUUGUGUCUUUAUUUGGAAGUACUUUAUCUUAUUUGAAACUUUUCGGCAUUCAAAUUUCAUCGAGCUCCAAUAUAGAUGUAAAAUAUCGCAUGAUAUUUUUUUUAAUUAAAGUUAAAAUUACAUACACAAUCUAAAGUGAAUCACACAUAUUGAAUGGUUAAUCAGAUUCUUUACAUUUUUCAUCAUUUAUUUUGUGCUGAAGGCAUAUUUAUGGGGUAUAUGUUUAGAUGUAAAAAUAAUCCAUUUUCGUGAUAAAUGUAAUUUAAGUAAAUUUUUAUAGAUAAAUUUUUCAAAUUGAAUAACUUUAUUAAUAAUGUAAAAUUUGAUAAUUUUGCUAAAUAAAUUUCAUAUUUUAUUAACCUUUCAAAAGUUAAGAAGUUGGACUCUAAAAAAAAAUAUUUACGAGGUUUUUAAGAAGAGGUAAGAACCCCAUAUGCUUGGGCAUGUACGGCUAAUAAAUAUCCGGUCAAGUAAUGUUUAAUGACAUUAUAGAUUUAUGUCAUAUGUACUAUAGAAUAAUUUAUGAUUGAGAUUCAUUUAAAUUAUAUACGCAUUAUAUUAUAAUAAUAAUAAAAACAAUAAAGGUGCAAGCUUUUUUAUUUUUUAAAAUUAUCAAAUAAAGCAAUUAAGUGUAUCCAAGCUAAUUAUUUCAAGAACUUUAAUUUAAGAUUGACAUGAAUAAACGAACUCCGUGACUUUUUACCUGCCAAACUUUUUUGAAAGUAAUUUUACAACACAUGCUUUCUUCAAAUUCUGAAGCAAUCUUCAAAAAUAGAUCACACUUUAAAACACAACUGAGUUCUAAAUAAAAAUUCAACUAAAGAAGAUGAUAAUAUAUUUUUUUUAAAAAAACUUAUUUGAAGGUUUUCAAAUAAUUAUAAAAACAUAUUAAUCAGAUUCUUCAAAAGUGUCGGAUUCUUUAAAAUUAGUAUAAUUUAAAAAAUUCAAUACAAGUACGAGGUUUGACAGGUAAAAAAUUCGGGAAAUCCGGAUAUCCCGGUAGAAUACACUUAAUUAUUUUAUUUGAUAGUUUUAAAAAAUAAAAAUAAUUGACGACUUUAUUGUUUUUAUUAUUAAGAUAAAUAUAGAUUUUAAAUGAAUCUCAAUCAUAAAUUAUUCUAUUAUUUUCAUGACAUAAAUCUAUAAUAUCAUUAAACUUUACUUGAUCUAAUUAUAAUUGAACGAAUCUUUAUUCAUGCAAAUUAUAAUUAAUGAUGUGUAACAAAACUUUCUACAUAAAUAAAACCAAAAAAGUAAACAAAAUUAGAAAAGUAAAAUACGAUAGAUUCGACAAAAAAAAAUAAUAUAUAAGUAGUGGGGCUGGAAAUAUCGCCGAACACCCUUUUUUAAGAUAGCUGCACGUUGCACCAAAUUCAACAGCUUAAGAAAGGGAUUCAAUCCCGAGUCUUUUUAAUUGCUAUAGUUCAACCAUCUCUUCGCUUGGUCUUUAUACUAAAAAUAUAUUUUUUUUAUUUGUCUAUUUAAAUAAAUCAAAAUAAAUUUAUUAUUUUCUUCUAAUUUAUUCUAAAAUUUUAAAAUAUAUAAGAUUAAAUGUAUUUCUAAUUUAAUAUAUAAAAAAAUUAAAUAGUACAUUAGGCCAAAUAUUUUUUAUAACCCUUUUCUAUUGAAAGGAAAAUGUACUACUCCACAUAACAAAAUGAAACUCUUAAGUUGUGUUGGUUUUGUUCCUUCUAAUUAUUCUUAGGGUCGUGUAACUCUCCAUUUUGUCAAAGUCAAUGCAAAGAUCUAGACGGACGACAGACACAUUAGCCCUAUAUAUGAUCAGUAGUAUAAUCAGGACAAUGUGGUAAAGGUAAACAAUGUUCUAAUGGAGAAUGUUGUAGUCAGUAGUCGAUGGGGCUAUUGUGAGUAUUAAGCCAAAUAAAAGCUUCUUCCUCAAACUUGGCUAGCUAGCUAGAGGAUCUACUUUGACUCCUCUUUUAGGACUAGUGAAGUGUGUAAUGCAUAUAUAUGUAAUGCAUUAAUUAAUUAAUCAAUAUUAUAAUAAAUAAAUGACUUUUGUCUAAAUCAAAAUACCUUAAUGUUUAUGUAUGCUCAUUCUACAAAAUAUAUAUAUAUAUAUAUAUAUAUAUAUAUAUAUAUAUAUAUAUAUAUAUGUAUAUAUAUAUAUUCCCACCAUUUUCGUCUAUAUUUUCAUUUUGCUCGACUUUGAUGUGUAAAGAACAAACUUUUCUAGUUGUAUAAUUAAACGAGAAAAUUAGACAAAAUUAUUUAUUCAGUCAAAAUUUCUUAUUCAAAUUAACUACAAUAUUAUUAUUUGUUAUAAAAUUAGUCAUUCUAUCCUAUUUCUUAUUUUGAUGCUCUCGUCUAUCACUAAACACCAUAAAAUUUCACUAGUUUUUACUCACCAUAUGUGUAUCUGAUAUAGUUUAUAUUAUGUAAUGUAAUAAAACAUACCCCAACACCAACCAACAUGAAGAAAAAAAACAAUGCUUGAAAGAGAAAAUGUGAUAUCAUGAAAUAACAAACAACAUGAGUGUGAUUGCAGUAAAUGCCCAUCCACUAUGGGUGAGUUGUUUUUGAAGAAAAAUAAAUAAAUUUAGAUUUUAAAAAAAAUAGUCUUUAUAAAAUUUAAUUCAAAUCAAACUCAUUUUAUAAAGUUUCACAAAAUAUCAAAGUAUACCAUAUAUCAUUGGACUUAAUUAUCUUUUGAUUAGUACUGUAUUUGUUGGUUAAAGAUUUGGGCACGUACGUGCCACUUAUAUAUUAGGCAGGGUACGUCCAGAAAUGAUUGUACCAUUCCACAUGGUAAUAAUUGAAACUUUCUUUUUUCUUCGAUAAAUUGACAGAGGGGUGCUAAUAAUAUGCUUUUGAUGUUUAAGGGAUUGAAAAGCUAGAAAGUAAGUGCAAUAACUGCAUAGAGAAUGUAAAUUAUGGGUUACUUUUGAAGAAAGAAAAACAAGGAAAGAGAUGGAUAAUAAUAAAUAUAUUUGGAUUACUCCAAGUAUUAAUAAAUUAACUUGGAUUUUUUGGUUGAUGAAAUCGAAAUUAAAGUAGUUCAUUCAUUCAUUUAUUUAUAAACAUUAGUUGAUGCAUUUUAUAUGCAUCAUGAUUACACACAUAGCAUUUUAAUAAUAAUAGCCCCAAAAGUAAAUAUUCUAGACAAGAGCUGCAUUGAGCAAGAAGCUUCGAAUGCCUCCAUCUCGUUUUGCGGUUGAGAUUGGUGCACCGCUACAUUGACUUUGACAAAAAAUUGGGUCACAAAAGCCUGGGCCGAUUCCACACCAACCAGCGUUACCACAACAUUGUCCAGUAGGACAUGAUUUACCAUCAGCUUGCCAUCCGCAUCGUCCCUCUGGAUAUGGACCUGGACAUUGCAUCUGACAAUAUCCAGGAAAACAAUACUCGUAUGUGUUUCCACACAUACCCGAUAUACCACAACACUCUCCGGUUCUAUUACAUUUCGUGCCACCAUUUUGCAUUCCACAUUGGUAUUGUGAAGGUGGAGGUGAAGGUGGGGGUGGAGACGGAGGUGGUGUGAAUGGGCAUUGGCUUUGACAUAGUCCGCUAGCACAAUAAUCCGUUGUGGUCCCACACCAACCAUCAACACUACAACAUUGUCCACGAGGACAUAAUCUGCCAUCAGCUUGCCAUCCGCAUCGUCCAUUUGGGAAGGGAGGGGCCUGAACAUUGACUCUGACAAAUUUCAGGUUUACAAAAGUCUGAUCCAGUUCCACACCAACCCAAUAGACUACAACACUGUCCACUAGGACAUUUUGUACCACCACCUUGCAUCCCACAACUUCCAUGUGGGGAGGGGCCAGUACAUUGAUUCUGACAAAAUCCAGAACCACAAUAUUCUGAUGUUGUUCCACACCAACCCCAUAUACUACAACACAUCCCACUAGGACAUUUUGAGCGAUGAUUAGCUUGCAUUCCACAUUCAUCUCCAUUCGCGAACACGCCGCCUGAUGCAUUCUUAUUAAUACCUUCAAGUACAAAGGUUCCAUUAAUUAUCUCAUUCGCUGAGACCACCUCAAGGAGGAACAAACUCAGUA